UUUGUACUCAACUCUACAAUUCAAACCGUAUACACCCAGGAAAAAACCCAAUCCGCCAUAGUUACAACCUCACUCACUGCUUCUUUCCAAUGAGCAGACACAAAUCGAACUACAGAAGCAGUGUAUACACAAAUGAACUAGUAUAAGAUUCUUAUAUAUUUGUUACUUAUUGUGGAGCAAAGCAAUGAAAGCUCUAAACAUCCGCCGCUCCAUUAUCUCUCUAACUUCUCUUCUCUCACAUCCCACCAUUACCCAAAAAAACCCUAAUUCAAAUCUCUUCUCAACCCAUUCAAACCUGAAAUCAACACGAGUUAAGCCCUUAAUGAAAUGGCCAUUGAACCACCCACCUAAACAACCCACCCCCCCUCAUUUCACCCCAACCCCAAAACCCCACCACCCUUAAUUACUGUCCCACUACUUUCACCACCCUAUGUGACAUCCUCAGUGACCCCACCAUCCCACCGGACCUAUUCUUGAAAAUGCAUUGGAUAAAGCUGGGAUUUUUGAAGUAAAUGAGCCUCUGUUUCUUCAACUUUUCACCCAUUUUGAUUCUUCACCUAAGCCCUUGUUUAUCCUUUACUUAUGCGCUGAGAAGAAAGAGUGGUUUAAGUUUUCUGUUACUGUGUUUAAUGCUAUGGUUAAUGCACUUGGGAAAGGAAGGGAAUUUGAUUCUGCUUGAAAUUUGAUACUUGAUAGACUCAGUUCUACUGAAAGACCCAAUCUUGUUACAUUUUCCAUAUUGAUCAGACGAUAUGCAAGGGCAGGUACUGGUUUUAUUUUCCAAAAAUCAUACAUAAAAGUUUCUAAAAAUUCAAUCAAUGAAUUAACUGCUCCUCAAUUUAAAAGUAGUUUGGGUUGAAUAUAUGUAUACUAUGUGUCAAUUCAGCUCUAUUCAGUUCAAUUCCUCCUGAAAAAUUAGUAUUCAGGGGAUUGGCCGUGCUGAAAUCCUCCUCCUUUAUCCAUAGUUGAGAUCAGCUAUGUUUGCAAUAGGUAUUUUUUUUACUAUUGAAUUUCUUUAUUAAUUUACUUCUGUUAUUUUCCCCAGUAAUUUGUGUGCUCCAGUUUAUUACAAAUUCACAAGUUCUGGCUUUGAGCUGGAUUUAGAGUACUAGUUGUUUUUGUACAUCCUGCUAAUUUUUUUUUUAAAAUUAAACUUUUGCAAGAAGUUGUUACGAGAUAUUUAAAGAGUUUAAUCUAUUUGAUUUUGCUUAUGAGAAAUAAGUGUUUGGAAUGCCUAUCAGGAUCAUCCAUAAAAUGUCCUAAGUUGCUCGUACUCGAGUGCGGGUGUUUGAUACUCGUGCAAUGUAGAGGUUGGAUCCUUCAUAAUCUAAAUUUGUGGGGAUUAGGGGGAAGGGGGGGGNNNNNNNNNNNNNNNNNNNNNNNNNNNNNNNNNNNNNNNNNNNNNNNNNNNNNNNNNNNNNNNNNNNNNNNNNNNNNNNNNNNNNNNNNNNNNNNNNNNNNNNNNNNNNNNNNNNNNNNNNNNNNNNNNNNNNNNNNNNNNNNNNNNNNNNNNNNNNNNNNNNNNNNNNNNNNNNNNNNNNNNNNNNNNNNNNNNNNNNNNNNNNNNNNNNNNNNNNNNNNNNNNNNNNNNNNNNNNNNNNNNNNNNNNNNNNNNNNNNNNNNNNNNNNNNNNNNNNNNNNNNNNNNNNNNNNNNNNNNNNNNNNNNNNNNNNNNNNNNNNNNNNNNNNNNNNNNNNNNNNNNNNNNNNNNNNNNNNNNNNNNNNNNNNNNNNNNNNNNNNNNNNNNNNNNNNNNNNNNNNNNNNNNNNNNNNNNNNNNNNNNNNNNNNNNNNNNNNNNNNNNNNNNNNNNNNNNNNNNNNNNNNNNNNNNNNNNNNNNNNNNNNNNNNNNNNNNNNNNNNNNGGGGGGAGGGGGGGGGGGGGGUUACGAUCCCAAGUACGGAUACGGAUAGUCGGAUACGGGUGCGGGGAUUCGGCUAAAAAUAAUUCAAAUAUCUAAAAAUAGAUUUGUACAAAUGUGUCUGAAUUCUGAGAAAAUGUGUGGAAAACCUACAGGGUAUUCCGAGAAGGAGAAAAUAUUGAUCAAGAGGAGAAUCUGAGGAGAUAAAAAGAAAAGGAGUAACAUGAAAAUUUCUAUACGCAAGGUAUUCCAUUUUCUUUUCACCCUAACUUUUGUGUAGUUUCAGAAAUCAUUGUAUCUCUUCAUAAAAUAAAUUAUUGCAUCUGUCCCGAAUUUCUUUGUUGAGUUUGGUCAAUGUAUCCAUAAUCAAUUGACUAGAUCCGGUAUGGACCCACACCCACGUCGUGUCGACAUGAGUGUGGCACCGAAAAUGAAGAGUCCUAGCAACUUAGAAAGGCACUCGUGUGUUCCAUAAUUUGAUCAUGUUCGGCCUAAAAAUGACAUGAUAAUUCAUUUAUGUUAUAAUAUAAGAGAGAUGUGUCACAUGUUGAAUUUAGUUGGUUCUUUGCACCUAGUUUUGGUGUAGCAGCUAUAUUUCGAUUCAUCUCGGUCAAGCCUCUUUGAAAUUACAUCCUUGUCUCUCGUCUAACUCAAGUUGCCCCGCUACUUUGACAGUUGAAGUAGCUCGCUUCAAGUAGCAUGUAUUACGCUCGAGGUCUCUUAGAAUAGUCUGCUCUCGUUUGAGCCAUUGUUGAAAUGAAAUGAUUUGACUUUCCCGUAGGUUUCUUCAAAACUCUAUCUUUUCUGUUUUCUUCUCACCUCAUCCCUGAAUUGCAUCAUGGGGGUCGAGCCCGAGAAGUUUAACCAUGCGAUAUCUCAGUGAACUUAAUUGGUUCGGUUCUCCACCUUAACGAUUGAAAAUAGGAUAGAUCAAGUUGACCUCCCGGGGGAUCCUGCAUGUGCAAGCUGCAACCUGCUACCAAAGGUCUAAGUGGUUAAUCGAACGAGUCAAUUCUCAAUGCGAUGCAUCUAUGAAAUGGGACGGAGAUCUGUCAGGGGUUACUCUACUAGUAGCUCAGCUUGGUCUCGCUCCCUUCCGGCACUAUUCUUCCCCACUAAAAAGAGCGAUUGAGAAUCUAAGGCAUUGAAUGGAAAGCCAACUGCAUACUUCAUCUGGAGUACAGUUUCUUGAGAGAGAGGAGAGAUCUGCUGCAAUUAUCUUCUGCUUCUCAAGUGAUUUCUAAGUCAGUUCAUUUUGAAUCUUUGGCCACUCAAUAUUUAGUGCACAUAUGUAAGUUCUAAUCUUCUGAUGAGUACUGUGAUCCUUUUGUCUUUGCAGGUAUGCUCUUACCAGCAAUUCGAACAUAUGAAUUUUCUUCAAAUAUAGACUUUUUACACGCUGUGGGCUUGGAGAACAACUUAUUUGAGAUACUAUUAGAUUCUUUAUGCAAAGAGGGGCAUGUGAAGGUAGCUUCUGAGUAUUUUUAUGGACGAAAAGGACAAGACUCAAAUUGGUCUCCAUCUAUUCGGGCCUAUAAUAUAUUGUUAAAUGGAUGGUUUCGAUCAAGAAAGAUCAAGAAAGCUGAGCGGUUAUGGGCUGAGAUGAAAAAGGAGGGAAUAAAACCUGAUGUUGUAACUUAUGGUACCCUUGUCGAAGGAUUAUGCCGGAUGCGGAGAGUUGAGAUGGCAAGGGCAUAAAACCUAAUGUUGUAACUUAUGGUACCCUUGUCGAAGGAUUAUGCCGGAUGCGUAGAGUUGAGAUGGCAAUUGAAUUGGUUGGUGAGAUGAUAGAGGAAGGAAUUGAGCCCAAUGCAAUUGUCUACAAUCCAAUAAUAGAUGCAUUAGGAGAAGCUGGACAAUUCAAGGAAGCAUCAGGAAUGACGGAGAGGCUCUCAGUUCUGGAAUCUGGUCCAACUCUAUCAACUUACAAUUCGUUGGUGAAAGGUUAUUGCAAGGCAGGAGAUCUCGUCGGGGCUAGUAAGAUUCUUAUGAUGAUGAUAAAUAGAGGUUUUAUGCCAACAGCAACAACUUAUAAUUACUUCUUUCGCUACUUCUCCAAGUUUGGGAAGAUUUAAGAAGGCUUAAACCUCUAUACCAAGAUGAUUGAAUCUAGAUACAUGGCAGAUCGACUAACAUUCCAUCUACUGGUAAAGAUGCUAUGUGAGCAUGAUAGAUUGGAUCUGGCAAUGCAAAUUAUCCAAGAGAUGAGGGCAAAGGGUUUUGAUUUGGACUUGGCUACAAGUACCAUGCUUAUACAUUUAUUCUGCAAGAUGCAUCGAUUUGAUGAUGCUAUUGAGUGGUUUCAUGACAUGAUUCGGAGAGGCCUAGUUCCUCAAUAUCUUGCAUAUCAGAGAAUGUGCAAUGAUCUCAAAAAACAAGGGGUAUCGUGACAUGAUUCGGAGAGGACUAGUUCCUCAAUAUCUUACAUAUCAGAGAAUGUGCAAUGAUCUCAAAAAACAAGGAAUGACUGAAAAGGGACAGAAACUUAGAGACAUGAUGGUUUCUACAGCCCACUCUGAGAAGUUGCCCAACACAUAUAUUGAAGAUGGAGACUCUUCGUAUACGAGAAGAAAAUCCAUCAUCGAGAAAGCUGAAGAAAUGUCAGAUAUAUUACAAACAUGUAGAAAUCCAAGACAGCUUGUCAAGCAUAGAACUCCUGUUGAGAACGCUGUGCUGAGUGCUAACCAGCUUAUCGAAAACAUUAGUAAACGAGUGGAAUUGGUUUAGUCACCCUUGUGUUGUCCUAUGAUUAUUCGGUAAUAGAUUCAAAACUAUCAGUCAUGUACAUACUCCAGCACAACCCCUUUUAUAUCCAAAAAAAUAUGUGAUUUUUUAACUUAUCAAAAAAAUUGACUUGUAAACUUAGGUUUUAUAAAGUUCAGAAAACAAUGUAUAUGUGAUGGAUCUAGGGAUUCUUCUUUCAUUUCGCUUUGACAGAGAUGUUAUGUUCUGUUUUUCCUAGAAUUAGCUAAAUGUAUGCUGAUGUUGUGUCACUUCUGAAAUUUGUAGGUGCUAUUUGAAUGUAUUUCCAAUGUCUGGAAUUUUCGCUCUUAUAUACUUCACUUUUGUGAUAAGGUUCCAACAUCAAUUGCUAGCUUUGUCAAGUUACCCUGGAGAACAGGAGAAAUAGAUGCACCACUGAUAACACAAAAAUAAUGCAGAAUUAAAUGCUAGUGGUCUUUUCAGUCAGAGAAAUGCAAGGAUGAUUGUUACAUGCUAGAAACUCCGAUAAUAAGAACUAGAUGCUAGUGGUCUUUUCAUUCAGAAAGAAAUGCUAGGAUUUAUUUUCAGUCUGGUAAAUGCCAGAAGCCCUGACAAUGCAGCAUGGUAAAAGAUGCUUUUUCUUUUCUUUGUGGUCCAAGACUUACAGGAAUUUUAAAUCAGUGCACCGUGGGAUGUAAAGGGCAGUUUGAGGGAUUUUAAUUGUAUUAUCCUUCAUUGCCACUUUUAUUCUCUUGGAGGUCUUAUGAUUGUUGCUUUCCCUUUAUCAUAAGAUCACUUUCUUCUACUUUGGUGUAUGUUGCCACGCUAGUCUACUUCGAUCAUUGGUUGUGUCCUAGAACUUCUUGCAUUUGUCUAAUUUGAUAAUUGGUUUUAGAUAGAUCUGCUUCUAAUGAGAAUCUUUGUUGGUCAGAUAUAUUUUUACCAAAGAAUUGUCUUGUUUGAUACCAAAAGAAGCCUAUUGUUUCUUGCUGUAAAAAAGCUUUUAAGCUAUUGAUAUUGCUCCUCCUAUGCGGUAAGAUAUUUGUCUGUAUUAUCAUUCGUAGUUAGCUAGGGCUGCCGAUGCUUGUAGGUCUUUGAGAUAGUCUGUGGUGUUCUUUUUGUGGAUAAUUUCUUGAUAUUGCUUACUGUGAGGUUUUAUGGAUUUUUUCAUUUUGAAAUGCAUCUCCUAUUCCUUAUAGAGCACGUGUUCAGUUAUGUUAUACCUUAUUAAUUAGUUCUGGCAUAAUGCAGAUUAUUCCCCGUCAGCUAUGUGAUAAUGCUGGUUUUGAUGCAACUGAUGUGCUGAAUAAGCUCAGACAAAAACACGCUCUUCCAUCUGGUAUGGCUACCAAUAUUUUGGGGGAUAUAUAACAACAGUAGCUUAUUGAAAAAGUACUAGUAGGAAUAGUAAAAUUUUUUGUGUUUACAAGCGUACUAGCCAUUGUUACGAGAGUUGAUAGUUUUUUCUGGAAUGGCUUCUGGUAAAGUUUUGGGUUUCUUUUCUUCGAGUACUCAAUGGUAAUGAUUUUGUCCAAAAAAGAAAGAAAAAAGCAUACUCCUUAAUGAUAUUGCACUAUGCUGGACAGGUGAGGGUGCGCCUUAUGGAGUCGACAUCAGUACUGGUGGCAUUGCCGAUGCAUUUGCCAACUUUGUUUGGGAGCCAGCAGUCGUGAAGGUUAGUUACAUUCACUGUUUUUUGUUGAUAAAUUUAGUUUAGCUUGUUAUUAAUAAACCACUCAUCUUUUGGCACUUGUUUUUACUGAAGCAUAAGUUUUUUAAAUGAAAAUUACUUUUUCUAAAUAAAAAAAAGUAAAGGAUCAAUUUUUUCCCCAAGUUAUGCUUAACAACAAUAACAAGCCGAGUAGUUGCCAUAACUGGGUCCCAAGUUAUUCUUGUUUCUUAAAAUACUUUAUGAUUUUUACUUUGUCCAGAUAAAUGCCAUUAAUGCAGCCACAGAAGCAGCAUGCCUCAUUCUGAGCGUGGAUGAGACAGUGAAGAAUCCUAAGGCAAUUUCGACUUUGUGAAACCACUUUCUCCCCAGUUUGUCUACCACUAUGGACAUAAUAGACGGUGCAUAUUAGGGGUUUCCAGUCUCCCUUUUUUCUGCCUUUUUAAAUCUAAAAGUUGUUAAGUUGCUUUAAGAAUGAGAACAGAAUUCACAACUUCCAACGUUGGAGGAAUUUUUGUGCCUCCCCUUCUCGCAGAUAGUUACUCAGCAAUUUUUGCGGGAAGAAAAUAACCUAGUAAUAAUGCAGUAGCUCUUCUGAAUUUUGUUGAUUACAUUAAUGCAGCCACAGAAGCAGCAUGCCUCAUUCUGAGUGUGGAUGAGACAGUGAAGAAUCCUAAGGUAAUUUCGACUUUGUGGAACUACUUUCUCCCCAGUUUGUCUACCAUUAUAGACAUAAUAGACAGCAUAUUGGGUUUUGCAAGUCUCCCUUUUUCCUGCUUUUUUUUAAUCUUCAAGGUUAAGUUGCUUUAAGAAUCAGAACAAAAUUCACAACUUCCAACUUUGGAGGAAUUUUCCUGCCUCCCCUUGUUGCACUUUUCGCUUGAUAGUUGCUCAGCAAUUCUUUCUGGAAAAGAAUAACAUAGUAAUAAUGCAGUAGCACUUCUGAAUUUUGUUGAUUACGGGCGGGACUUAAGAUCGUUUUGGCCAAACCUUAAUGGCAAGGUUGUUAGUUGGUACUUUGCAUUUUAGGGCUCGGCAGGUGUCAGAAAGAUGUGGAUGGAGAGAAACUCUAUAUGGUGCCAUUUAGCCUUAAGCUGACUAAGUCAAAGCAGUCCUGUCACUGUCUUGCAGUCUGAGCUAGGGGGGAAGCAACUGUAAUGUGUAAAGGUGUUUUUGAGUGCUCCUACAUCUCUCCAUUUCUUUUUUUUAUAACUUAGAAACCCUCGAGGGAAAGUUUCUGUAUGGUUCGAAACUUGGUGGAUAAUGAGCCUGUUUUACGGUUUUCCUCGUAAAUACCAGGUUUUUUGUCCGCGGCAGGAUUUGAACUCGUAGCAUGCACCUAACUCGCACAUCAUGUGCUGCUCUACCACUAACAUGCAGUCUACCUCUGCUGUGGUAUAAGAAUAUCUGGGUCUUAAAAAAAUCAAAUUAUGUAAGCUAGUCCUCUUCAAGCUGUCAAUCUGCCUCUAUGCAUAUUUUGUGUUGUUUUAGGUGGAGUUUAGUGGAUUUCUUUUAUGUUUUUAUCUUGCUCAUCAGAUUUUCUUUUUUGCUUGUGAUGUGUUCAUUGUACUUGUAUGUGUCCUUGCUAUGCUAGAAGUAAUUCCUAUUUCCUCUACAUUGCAGUCUGAGAGUGCUCAAGGAGAUGCUGCUGCAAGUGCUACGGGUGGUAGAGGGCGUGGAGGUGGUCGUGGCUGUGGAAUGAGGCGGCAAUAGAUUUCACAAGUUCUUUGCAGAUUUUGCUAUGAUUUUCAUUUUAGACUUUUUUGCAUUGUUCACUCCUGCUGAGAUGAAAUCGAAAGAAUGCAAGGAAAAGAAAGGUGGAAAGCAAGGUGGUACGCCAUCUUUUUAUGUGAUGUGAUUCCCAAAAUUGGUCUCUAAAUUAUGGCUGAUGAGUUUAUUUUUAUUUGUGAACUAAUUUCCCGGUUUCACAACUGUCAUAUUUCCAUUGGCUGCUAAUGUAAUGUAUUUCUAGUUGUCUCCCCUGUCGUAUUGAAAUCAGUGCAGAACUCCCUUGUAAGCCAAUGGAGAAAAGUGCAUCCUUGACCAAAAUGUUAAAAUUUGGACAUUGAUUCUUUUGUAGUUGCGGAAAGAGAUCAAAGCAUUAUUAUGUUAGUAAUCCUGAGAACUAAAGCAUCUCCGCUGUCAUUUUUUCAAAGUGCGAAGCCUGCUGGUGGAUAUAUGCAGAAUUCCUUUCAGGAAUAAACUCCAUCUGAUCGUGAAAGGUUCACAGUUAUACUAAAUAAGAAGGUUUAAAACUAACAGCUUAAGGAGAGCAAAUUCAAAAAUACGAUCAAUGCAACUCCAGACAGCACCACCUCCUCUCGAUUGGAAGUGAGCGGUUGCUUACCCUUAAGCGCGCCUCAAACGAGCCUCUAAUAAGACUGUUUUUCCUUCUCUAUUAGGAUUCCUUUAUUUUCAGGGAGACUGAAGGGGAUGUGACUCACCCGUUAUAGCAAUGUUUGGCUGUAACAACUCAACUUAGGUUUGCCAAUGUUUCAACAACUUUAUUACUACAUAGAGCAGCCAAAAGGGGUAACUAGCCCAUUGCACAUUUUAUCAACAAGUUAAAUGGAGUAAACAAUUAGGCUUGUAAACCCUCUGGCUUGGGAGGAAAAAAGAGGGGAAGAUAAGGGAAGACACGGGAACCUAUAUCCUGGCAAAACAACACAAAGGGGGUUCAGAGGGUAAAACUUUUAACAGUAAUCUUAUUAGCCUAUUGAUAUGAUGAAAAUCAGAUAACAUGUUACAGAAAGUAUGAAAACUAAAAGUGCAGGGAAACAGUACUUUAAAUAGAAAAGGAGCUGCACCAAAAUAUUUCUAUAAUUUCAUAGCUUAUAGAUUAAACAAGUCAUGAACAACAUUACAACAUUCAGAUGGAUACUUAGAUCAAUAUAAGUGUAACACUCUCCAAAUUUUAUUUUAAAAAAAAGUUUUGAGGCACACUAAGUAUGGAAAUAAAUUAUUACUAUUUUUAUUAUUUUUACCUUAUAUAUAUAUUUAUUAGAUAUAUAAUUAUGAAAACAUUAAUAGUUUUAAUAUUAUUAAUUAUUAAAAGUGGGUAUCAUUAAUUAUUAGUUAAGUUUAAAAAAAAAAGGAAAAAAAGGAAUGAGGACAAAUUUUUAAAAGGCUUAAAGCCUUAAACAAAAUAAAACUAAAAAGCCUGAAGGCUAAAGAGCUGUAAAAGAACAAAAGACUUCAUUCAGCAAAGGCAAAAAGGCUAAGAAUUCUUAUACGAUAAACUGAAGCAGAACACUACGAACAGAGGCAGAGACUCACGCAGUCAACGAAAAAAAAAUCCUAGGGUUCUUCAUAACUCACUUAUUCUUGAACUCAGGUAUGUAAAAUUUCCUAUUGUCAAUUACCCUACAGUAGUAUAGUUAAGAGUUGAGUAGCUAAUUCUCUUCUUCAUCUAUAUCAUCAACAAAUUUCAUAUUUAGGUGUAGUACGUUAAAAUUGAUUAAAAUACACCGGUUAUUGUAGAAUCGAUUGUUUGAUUGGUAUCAAUUGGACUGGGUCCUACGUAUUGGCUCGAUAAGUUUUGAGGUGAGUUGAUAUAACCCUUUACUAAAGUGGUUUAACUCACAAAAUCAUGCAUACAAGGUAUUUGAUGAAUUGCUUAAAAGAAUUUGUCUUUAUUAAUUAGAGCGCGUGAGUACCCAUUAAUCUAGAAUUGUUCUAGCAAAAGUUUAGAUGAUCUAUUAUACUAUAUGUGCUUAAAUUUUCAGAUUUUUGUGUUAUUCUUAUAUGCUAUUUUCUUGUUGAAAAUUAUGAAGAAGAAAGAAUCUUUUGAAAUAUUUUUAUAUGUUUAUUUCAUUCUUAUAACAUGCUUACAUUUAAGGACACCAAUAUGAGCAUGUGCAUAAUAUUCUAUAAAGAAAAGAUUUAGACUUGAGAAGUCACAAGAAGAAGUUUUAGAAUGAAAAGAUUUUUGGGGAGUAUCCUUUAUUCUGAGAAGGGGUCAUCGUCCAGGCCAAGGGUCCUGACCUAGGCAUUGACUUCCUGAAACUACUUGUGCCAAAGUAGGGAGCACAUGAGCCGAGGAUCUCGUUGCUGAGAAUUUACUUAGCCAUGCUAAGGUAUGAUACAUGAGCGCUGAGAACCAUGAAGCGAGUGGCACCUCGUGGAUNNNNNNNNNNNNNNNNNNNNNNNNNNNNNNNNNNNNNNNNNNNNNNNNNNNNNNNNNNNNNNNNNNNNNNNNNNNNNNNNNNNNNNNNNNNNNNNNNNNNNNNNNNNNNNNNNNNNNNNNNNNNNNNNNNNAAUUAAAAGAUUUUUGGGGAGUAUCCUUUAUUCUGAGAAGGGGUCAUCGUCCAGGCCGAGGGUCCUGACCUAGGCAUUGACUUCCUGAAACUACUUGUGCCAAAGUAGGGAGCACAUGAGCCGAGGAUCUCGUUGCUGAGAAUUUACUUAGCCAUGCUAAGGUAUGAUACAUGAGCGCUGAGAACCAUGAACCGACUGGCACCUCAUGGAUUGGGCCUAUUCGAUCAGAUUGAGAUCGAACUCGUGCCGAUCACACGGUGACUAAGACAAAAUUAAGUCAGGAUAGUUGGAACUCCCAAAGUAUAAAGUGAAGUAUUUUUUUUUAGAAAGAAAAAGAAAAGAAUUUCUUUUAGAAUAUUCAUAAAUUGCUAUUAUGCAAUUAUUUUAGAAGUAUUCUUAUAAGCUUUAUGUUUUACAUGCAUUUAGAACCUUUACUCAUAAUGUAUAUAUUAUUAAAGUUUCUUCCUCUAUUAUGCAAUUAUUUUAGAAUUAUUCAUAUAAGAUUUAUAUUUUACAUGCAUUUAGAACCUUAGCUCAUGAUGUAUAUGUUAUUAAAGUUUCUCCCCCUAUUGUUGAGACUCAUUAAGUGCAAUGGAUGGUACGGAGGAUCUCUUUUGGGAACCUACGUUGGUGUGCAGUACAACGCAGGAACCGGAUUUGCAGGCGAGCAGGCUACAAGUUAGGACUUCCUUCCCUUCAGUGAUAUUGGUGAGCUCCGCUUUUGUUCGUGGAGUACUCUUAGAGUCAUUUUCAUUUUGUUAUUUCCUUAUUUAUUUAGAUAACUGGCCAGGAAAUUUCUGUCCUGAGCAGUGCGUCAAUUUAUCAGUAGAGGCUUCAUAGACAUAGUCACUGGGUUGAGAUUCAAAUGUUAUUUUAUAAUAACUUAGUAGUAAUUCAGAAGUUACUACGAGCUUUGAAGCUGAUUUAUUUAAAUCUUUGCAUUAAUCAAAAGUAUUUGGUUAGAGUAUUGCUUUGUUGCAUAUGAAGUUUGAAGUUAUAAUAGGUUUGAUAAGCAAAGAUGGUUCGCUCGGUCAUGUUUAGUGAUCGAGUGCCGGUCUCGGCUUGUUCAGACAAUGGGUCGUGACAAACUUGGUAUCAGAGCCUCAGUUUUAUGGAGUCCUAGGGCUCUAUGAAGUCGUGUUGGUAGAGUCUUGUUUAUGGGUAUGAAGUGCGCUAUACUUAUAAACAUGAUGCUACAAGCAUUUAGGAAAAAUCUCAUUUUUUUCAUACUUUAGAUCGUGCAGUAGAGCCUACCUCUAAGAAAUUAUUUAAUGUAUUAUUUUCUCCUAAGCUCGCAGAAAUGGCUCGUGCUCGCAACUAUGACACCGAACUCAAGAUGCUGCUCAAGAAACUAUUGCUACUAUCAUAGCUCAAGGCAUAACUAAAAAGGCUCGAACACAGAAAAGUAAGGGUAAAUCCACAAGGGGGGUUCAAGUACCCCAGGUUGAACAUUAAGACGGGGUGGAGCAUGAUGAUCAACUACCUCAGGAUCCAACGCCCCAACAGCAGCUCCGGGUCAAACAACUAUAUCCCCAGAGGUGGGUCAGAUGUUUAAUGCAGUCAAUAGUGUUAUGGAGAUGUUUAAGGCCUUUAUGGCCAACCAGAACGAGAAAAGAGAUAAGAUUCCACCCCAAAAAAAUAGGCAGAACAAUUCUGAGUCUUCAAGAGUGAAUGAAUUUCUGAAGUUGUCCUCAAGUGUUCCAUGGUUCUAUUGUUGAUGAAGAUCCAAUGUUAUGGAUGGAGGGUGUUAAGAAAGCCCUUCGAGUGAUGAAAGUAUUUGAUGACAAAGCUGUGGAGCUGGCUGCUUACCAGCUUAGAGAUAUGGCUGGCGCUUGGUUUGAGAUGUGGUAAAAAGAGAGAGAUGAAGAUGAUGGUCUACCUACUUGGGAAGAAUUUGAAAAGGCCUUCAAUGCUAACUUUAUCCCAGAAGAGGAUAUGACAGCUAAGGCUACAGAGUUCAAACAGCUCAAGCAAGGGAAUAAAAGUGUGCAAGAGUACUACAUAGAAUUCAUAAGGUUAGCUAAGCAUGCUCCUCACAUGGUUAAGACAGAAAAAGCAAAGAUUCACAGGUUUGUUGGCGGUUUGGCUUAGCACAUUAAGGCUACGACAUCAGCUGCAGCGGUAGAGUUAAGACAGAAAAAGCAAAGAUUCGAAGGUUUGUUGGUGGUUUGGCUUACCACAUUAAGGAUACGGCAUCAGCUUCAGCAGUAGGAAUGAUAGCUAUCUCAUCUAUUGUGGGGUUUACCAAGCACUUAGAAAAAGACAGACAACAAAGGAGAGAAGAGAAAGAGCAUAACAAGAAAUCCCAGACAAGGGGCAGGUUUAAUGGUACAUCCAACAGAGGCGGAAGGGAUUCCUAUAAUAAGGAGUCAUUAGGACCAGCUCAGUCCAGUCAUCUGUCAGGUGGUGGGUCUUCCUUCAGACGUACUCAAGGUUAUGGAAAUCAGUCUCGCCAGAAUCAGAAUUUUAGGAAUCAUCCUCACAUAGCCAGAGUCAUGCUGAGCAACAUUCACACCUGCAAGGUAUUUGUGGAACAUGUAAGCGGCAACAUUCAGGUCAGUGCAAACUCGGAUUUCAUGGUUGCUACCAUUGUGGGGAAAUUGGUCAUAUAAAGACCAACUGCCCAAAGUUGCGACGUAAUUUUAGUGGUGGAUCAACUCGUCCUUCUAGUUCCUCAGCUACCGCACUUGCACCACCUCAGGCUCGUGGUUCUCAUUAAAGACCAACUGUCUAAAGUUGCAACGUAAUUUUAGUGGUGGAUCAACUCGUCCUUCUAGUUCCUUAGCUACCGCAUUUGCACCACCUCAGGCUCGUGGUUCUCAUAAUCAGGCCGGGCAAGGGGCAAACAGAGGUGCAGAUCGAAUUACUCAGGGCGAGGGACAACCCCGUUUGUUUGGUACACUUGAUCGUCAGAGUGCAGAGGCAUGUGCAGAAGUUAUUACGGGUAUACUUUUAGUCUGCUCACACAGAAUGCUUAUUCCAUUAUGGAUCCAGGUUCAAUAUUUUCAUAUAUGACUCCAUACUUUGCAAUUAACCUCGUUCUAGAACCUGAACAACUUAGUGAGUCAUUCCUAAUAUCUACUCCAGUUGGCGAGUCAGUGAAAGUCACCAGAUUCUAUAGAGGUUGUAUAGUUUCAGUUCAAGGUCGCAACACCAAAGCCGAUCUCAUAGAGUUAGAAAUGGUGGAUUUUGAUGUGAUCAUGGGUAUGGAUUGGUUGUCUUCUUGCUAUGCCAUGUCAGAUUGUCAUGCCAAGAUAACCAUGUUCCAAUUUCCAAAUGAACAAGUCUUAGAGUGGAAAGGUAGUUCAGCAUCGCUUGUAGGUAAGUUUAUUUCUCACCUUAAUGCACAACAGAUGAUCGGUAAGGGCUGUCUCGCCUAUUUGGCCCACAUUAUUAAUCCAUAAUUAGAACCACCAACUCUUCAGUCAGUGCCAGUUGCUACAGAAUUUCAAGAAGUGUUCCGAGACGACCUUCCUGGACUUCCUCCCGAGAGAAUCAUAGACUUUGGCAUUGAUCUCAUGCCAGGCACUCAUCCCAUAUCUAUACCUCUUUAUAGGAUGGCUCCAGCAGAACUUAAUGAGUUGAGAGAAUAGUUGAAAGACCUUCUUGACAAGGGCUUCAUCAGGCCGAGUGGUUCACCAUGGGGUGCCUCGGUCUUGUUUGUUAAGAAGAAAGAUAGGUCUCUCAGAAUGUGCAUCGACUAUCGUUAAUUGAAUAAAGUUACAAUUAUUGCGAGUGUUUUACCGUGAGUUGCCCCGGUCAUGUUUGUCAAAACGAAAGAUGGGUCUCUCAAAAUGUGUGUCGACUAUCGACAGUUGAAUAAAGUUACCAUUAAGAACAAGUACCCACUGCCAAGAAUUGAUGAUUUAUUUGAUCAACUUCAGGAUGCAAAGUACUUUUCAAAAAUAGACUUGAAGUUGGGAUACCAUCAGUUGAGAAUCAGAAAGGAGAAUAUAUCUAAAACAGCCUUUAGAACUCGCUACGGGCACUAUGCAUUUCUAGUGAUGUCCUUCGGGUUAACAAAUUGUCACGAUCCGGAUUUUCCCACCAUCGGGAGUCAUGAUGGCGCCUACUGUCAGAGCUAGGCAAACCAACCUUUUUAAAAAUUUCACAAAACUUUAAUCUAAAACAGCUUAAUAACUGAAAAAAUUAAUUAAAAAACCAUGCGGAAGAUUUUUAACAAAAAUAACAAUAGUAAAGUGCGGAAAUUUGUAACAUGUCUCUACCCAGUAUCCGGUGUUACUACUCACAGACUACUAAAAGAGUCCUAAAAACAUCAGUCUAAAAGAAAAUUCAUAACAAGUCUGUUUCGAUACAAUGAAAAUAAACGGAAAGAAAUAGAUGAGACUCAGGGCCCGCGAACGCUAGGAACUACCUCGGAGUCUCUGGACUAAAGGCUCGCUCCCUAACUACUGCUGCGGUCCGUAAGCUGUAUCUUGACCCGUGCACAAAAGGCACAGAAGUGUAGCAUCAGCACAACCGACCCCAUGUGCUGGUAAGUGCCUGGCCUAACCCCGGCGAGGUAGUGAUGAGGCUAGACCGGACCUACCACAAUCAGCCUGUAUAGAUAUAUGUGUAAUAAUGAAAAUAUAACAAAAUUUAAAUCGCUAAUGGGGAGGGGACAUGCUGGGGGGUGUAACAGUUCAAUUAUAGGUCCAACGAACAAGAAAUGGAAACUGAAUAUUUAACAUCAACAAAAGAAAGUCAGUGAAUCAACAACUGCAUGGCAACCUUCGUGCUUUUACUCUCAUUUCUCACCAAAACUGUCAAAUAUAAUGCACGGCAUCACCNNNNNNNNNNNNNNNNNNNNNNNNNNNNNNNNNNNNNNNNNNNNNNNNNNNNNNNNNNNNNNNNNNNNCACCUAGAACGGACAAAAGAAAGAAGUACCUGAGUCGGGGAAUAGAUGGGGAUAACGGCUCCGCAUAUCAGACUCAAACUCCCAGGUCGAUACCUCAGGCGGCUGACCUCUCCACUGAACACGCACUGAAGGAAAAGGGAAUUGAAAGACCCUUUGUGCAUAAUUAUCAAAACGUGGUACCGAAAGACCCUUCGUGCAAAAUUAUCGAAACAUGGCACGAAAAUACCCUUUGUGCAUAAUCUCUCUCUUCCUCACCCAAUCAAUGGUCACAACCAAACGGGAAAGGAAUAUACAACAAGAUAAAAUAUCCCGGCAAGGGAGAACAACUUAAUCUCUCUCUUCCUCACCCAAUCAAUGGUCACAACCAAACGGGAAAGGAAUAUACAAGAUAAAAUAUCCCGGCAAGGGAGAACCACUCUAUAACAAGUCCCGGCAAGGGAGAACAACUCAACAAUAAGUCCCGGCAAGGGAAAUUGAUUCAUCAAGUCCCGGCAAGGAAAAAAGACCAAAAUUCCUUCUUUAGCUCAUUUGCUUCCAACCUAUCACUUCAUAGUUCAUUUAACAAGUAAUUAACACAACUGUUCACUUCUUUCGAAUUUUAAAAGCAAUUAUGACUAAAUUGCAACUCAAAGCUCAACAACCCCCUUUCCUCUAGAAUUCGACCCCGAACCAACGAUAUAUAACAUAAAUCGAUUCAACAUUAUCAAUAAUAGCACAAGGAUACAAUUUCCUAACCUAGAAAUGUAUUUUCUAACUUUCUUCCAAAAAUACCAAAAUCCGACACCGGGUCCACAUGGUCCAAACUCGAGGCUCGGACCAAAUUCCGAAUACCCAUAAUCCCACGAGACCAAAUAUAUGAUUUGUUUUAAGAUUUGACCCCAAAUUGAGGUUGAAUCGCCCAAAACUCUCAAAAACCUAACUCUACCCAAAAGCCCUAAUUUCUACCAUGAUUUCAUGUUUUAGGGUUAGCAAAUUGAUGUUUAGAUGAAGGAAGCAAGAAGAAAUGAUGUUAGGAUUACUUACCCAAUGAACUAUGAAGAAAUGGGAGCUUGAAUUUUGUCCAAUGGAGGAUUUUAGGAAGAUCUCGUGUUUUAGAUGAAGGAAGCAAGAAGAAAUGAAGUUAGGAUUACUUACCCAAAGAACUAUGAAGAUGGGAACUUGAAUUUCGUCUAAUGGAGGAUAUUAGGAAGAGCUCGUGUGAGAAUUUGGGAAGAAAUCCCGUCAGUGUUAUGUUUUUAAGCUUUUAAUAUCACUGGGCGAAAUUAGUCUAUGCGAUCGCGGGGCAACUGAUGCGAUCACAUAGGGGAGUGGGAAGCUAGCUUAUGCGAUCGCGAACAAGUUAAUACGAACGCAUAGAAGAGAGGGAAGCUAGAGUACCAGGUGAGGCUUAAUGUUGUGCGAUCGCGUAGAUUGGGAUGCGAUCGCAUUGAAGAGGCUGGCCAAGCUAUGCGAUCGCGUACUAAGGAAUGCGAUUGCAUUGAACAAAGUGGGAGGGCUGAUAAGGGACUUUAUGCGAUCGCAGACAAGCCUAUGCGAUCAUAUAGAGGAAAAGACCAGAGUAAAAAUUGUAGAAAAUCUGCUAAGUUUUUAAGAACAAAACACCCCGAACCACCCCCGAAAUCAUUCCCGAGCCCUCGAGGCUCCCAACCAACCACACACACUAACUCAAUAUCAUCCUACGAACUUUCUUCGGCGAUCAAAUCGCCAAAAUAACAUCAAAAUCAAAGUGUCAACCUUCAAAACUCAUAAUUUUCAUUUCAAUGUUCAAAACUUUAAAAAUUUCCAUUUCUAGUUCAAAACACGUCAAAUGACGUCCGUUUUCAACCAAACUUUAGAGAUAGCGCUUAAAGCUCAUUUAAGACUUGUACCAGGUGCCGGAACUAAAAUACGAGCCCGAUACCAUUAUUUUUGAUCAAAUUUUAUUUUCAUUUUUCCUUAAGCAUUUUCAGAAAAUAACUUCACGGAAAAAUCCGUACUCAGUCCUGGGACUCAUAUUUCGAUUUCAGGAAUACGCCCGGGCCCUAUAUUUUUCUACGGACCUCCGGGACCGACACAUCAUGGGUCGACGUCCGUUUACCUAAAAUGUUGACCAAAGUCAACUAUAGCAAUGUUAUUAUCAAAAUUCAUAGUUUUUUUACAUAGAAUUCAAGUAUUUACACAUACAAGUUUUCCGUCUUCGUGCUCGGACUACGCACGCAAAUCGAGGCAACCAAAUAAGAGGUUUUCAAAGCCUCGAUAUCACAAAGAAAGGGAGAGUUACGGUGAUGACCCUUUGGGUCAUCACAUCCUCUACCUCUAAUACAACCGUUCGUCCUAGAACGGACAAAAGAAAGAAGUACCUGAGUCGGGGAAUAGAUGGGGAUAACGGCUCCGCAUAUCAGACUCAAACUCCCAGGUCGAUACCUCAGGCGGCUGACCUCUCCACUGAACACGCACUGAAGGAAAACUCCUCGACCUCAAGUGUCGAACCUGCCAAUCUAAAAUAGCCACCGGCUCCUCCUCAUAUGACAAAUUCUUGUCCAACUGGACAGUACUAAAUUCUAACACGUGUGUGGGAUCGCCGUGAUACUUUUGAAGCAUGGAUACAUGAAAACGGCUGACAAGCUAGGUGGCAAAGAAAGUCUAUAAGCCACCUUCCCUACAUGGUCAAGAAUCUCAAAUGGGCCAAUAAGCCUAGGACUAAGCUUGCCCUUCUUCCCGAAUCUCAUCAUGCCCUUUAUAGGCGAUACACGAAGCAAUACUCGCUCAUCAACCAUGAGAGCAACAUCCCUGACCUUACAAUCUGCAUAACUAUUCUGCCUAGAUUGAGCUGACCGAAGUCUGUCCUGAAUGAUCUUGACCUUAUCCAAGGCCUCCUGUACCAAAUCCGUACCUAAUAACCAAGCCUCUCCCUGCUCAAACCAUCCGACUGGGGACCGACACCACCUACCAUACAACGCCUCCUACGGAGUCAUCUAAAUAUUGGACAGGUAGCUGUUGUUAUAGGCAAAUUCUGCUAAAGGAAAGAAAUGGUUAUCCAAGGCCUCCUGUACCAAAUCUGUACCCAAUAGACGAGCCUCUCCUGGAUCAAACCAUCCCACUAGGGACCGAUACCGCCUACCAUACAAUGCCUCAUACGGAGCCAUCUGAAUGCUGGACUGGUAGCUCUUGUUGUAGGAAAACUCUGCUAAAGGCAAGAACUGGUCCCACGAGCCUCCAAAAUCACUAACGCAGGCCUGAAGCAUAUCCUCAAGAAUCUGAAUAGUCCUUUCGGACUGACCGUCCGUCUGAGGGUGAAAUGCUGUACUCAACUGGACCUGGGUGCCCAACUCAUGCUGUACCGCUCUCCAAAAAUGCGAGCCCCAUGAAGGUUAACGAUCUCUCUGAUAUAAAUCUCAGCAUAUCUCUCGGAUGAGUAGGUGGUGGCAACUGGAAUAAAAUGCUGACUUUGUCAGCCUAUGAAUAAUAACCCAUAUAGUAUCAAACUUCUCCGAGUCAUCGAAUGGCCAGUAACAAAAUCCAUGGUGAUUCUCUCCCACUUCCAUCAGGAAGCUCAAUCAUCUGAAAUAACCCACCGGGCCUCUGAUGCUCAUACCUAACCUGCUGACAAUUCAGAUAAUGAGCCACAUAUGCAACAAUGUCUUUCUUUAUUCUGCGCCACCAGUAAUGCUGCAUCAAAUCCUGAUACAUCUUCGCGGCGCCCGGGUGAAUAGAAUACCGAGAACUAUGGGCCUACGCUAGGAUCGACUCCCGGAUACCACCAACGUUAGGCACACAAACUCGCCCCUACAAUCUCAAUAUGCCGUCAUCUCCCAGAGUCAUUUCCCUGGCACCUCCCCGUUGCACCGUGUCUCUCAGGACACACAAAUGAGGAUCAUCAAACUGCUGCUCCCGAAUACGCUCCAUCAAUGACGAGCGUGAAACCGUGCAAGCCAACACCCUGCUGGGCUCAGAAAUAUCCAAUCUCACAAAUCUAAUGGCCAAGGCCUUAACAUCCAAGGCAAUCGGUCUCUGGCUGACCGGAAUAUAUGGAAAACUACCCAUGCUGGCGGACUUCCUACUCAAUGCAUCGGCCACCACAUUGGCCUUCCCCGGGUGAUUGGCCAAGGCCUGAACAUCCAAAGCAAGUGGUAUCUGGCUGACCGUAAUAUAGGCAAGAUUACCCAUGCUAGCGGACUUCCUACUCAACACAUCGACCACCACAUUGGCCUUCCCCGGGUGGUAUAAGAUAGAAAAAUCAUAUUCUUUCAACAACUCCAACCACCUCCGCUGUAUCAAAUUCAACUCUUUCUGCAUGAACAAGUACUGAAGGCUCUUGUAAUCCGUGUACACCUUACACGUCAUACUAUACAAAUAAUGCUUCAAGAUCUUCAACGCAUGAACAAUGGGUGCAAACUCCAGGUCAUGAACUGAAUAAUUCUUUUCGUGGAUCUUCAACUGCCUCAAAGCAUAUGCUAUGACCUUGCCAUUCUGCAUCAACACGGCGCCAAAGCCCGAUACAGGAGGCGUCAAAAUAAUCAGUAUAAGGCCCAGACCCCGUAGGAAAAACCAAAACUGGUGCCGUAGUUAGAGCUGCCUUGAGAUUUUGGAAGCUCGCCUUGCACUCAUCUGACCGCCUGAACUAGGCAGCCAUCUGGGUCAAUCUAGUCAUCGGGGCUGCGAUGGAUGAAAACCCCUAGACGAAAUGUCUAUAGUAACCAGCUAACCCCAAGAAGCUCCGGAUCUUUGUAGCUGAAGCUGGUUGAGGCCAGUUCUUGACUGCCUCUAUCUUCUUCGAGUCCACCUGAAUACCCUAUGCUGAUAUGACAUGACCCAUGAAUGCGACUGAACUCAACCAAAACUCGCACUUCUAGAACUUGACGCACCACUGACUUUCCUUUAGAGUCUGAAGAACCACUCUGAGGUUCUGCUCAUGCUCAUCCCGACUGCGGCAGUAUAUCAAGAUACCGUCAAUGAAUACAAUCACAAAUAAGUCCAAAUAGGACCUGAACACUCGGUUCAUCAACUCCAUGAAUGCUGUCGGGGCAUUGGUUAACCCAAACGACAUGAUCAAAAACUCAUAAUGCCUAUACCGAGUACGAAAUGCUGUCUUAGGGACAUCAGACGCCCUAAUCCUCAACUGAUGAUAACCAGACCUCAAAUCUAUCUUUGAAAACACUCUGGCACCCUGGAGCUGGUAAAAAAAUCGUCAAUCCUCGGCAGUGUAUUCUUGUUCUUUAUCAUCACCUUUUCAUGAUAACCAGACCUGAAGUCUAUCUUCGAGAACACCCUAGCGCCCUGAAGCUGGUCAAACAAAUCAUCAAUUCUCGGUACUGGAUACUUGUUCUUUAUCGUCACCUUGUUCAAUUUCCGGUAAUCAAUACAGAUCCUUAUCGACCAAUCUUUUUUCUUCACAAACAACACUGGUGCACCCCAAGGUGAUACACUGGUUCUAAUGAAAGCUUUAUCGAGCAAGUCCUGAAGCUGCUCCUUCAACUCUUUCAACUCUGGCGGGGCCAUGCGAUACGGCAGAUCAAUACAGAAAUAAAUAUCCCAGUCGGGCGGCAUGCCCGGUAGGUCUGAAGGGAAAGCCUCGGGGAACUCCCGAAUAAUAGGAAUAGAGUCGAUAGAUGAACCUCUGCACUGGAGUCGCGAACAUAUGCCAAAUAUGCUAUACACCCCUUCUCGACUAUACGUCGAGACUUGAAAUACGAAAUAACACUACGGGUGGCAUGAUCUGGGGUCCCCCUCCACUCAAAUCGGGGAAAAUCUUUCAAGGCCAAAGUCACGGUCUUGGCGUAAUAAUCCAAAAUAGCAUGAUACAAGCACAACCAGCUCAUCCCCAAUAUAACAUCAAAGUCCACCAUGUCUAAAAGCAAUAAGUCGACACGGGUCUCAAGCAUCCCCAAUAUAACAUCAAAGUCCAUCAUGUCUAGAAGCAAUAAAUCGACACAGGUCUCAAGACCCUCAAAUACCACUACACAAGAACGAUGCACUCGGUCGAGCACUAAAGAAUCACCAACCGGUGUGGACACAUAUACAGAAAUACCCAAAGCCUCACUAGGCAUGAUCAAAUAGGGUGCAAAAUAGGAAGACACAUAAGAAUACGUAGAUCCUGGAUCAAAUAAUACUGAAGCACCUCUAUCACAGACCAGUAUAGUACCUGUAAUCAUAGCAUCAGAAGACUCGGCCUCCAGCCUGGCUGGCAAUGCAUAACACCGGGGCUGGCCGCCACCAUCCAUGAACUGUAUCUCUGGGAUGAGCUGCUGCGGGCUGACCUCUACCUCUGGCUAUCCGAUAUCCACCUCUACGGUCUCUCUCUCCACCUCUAUGAUCCCUACCCCUUUCUCUAGUUGGAUGAGCGACCUGUGGAUCACCUGCUGCCUGAAUCGUAGGGCGAGGACCCUGCUUCUGAGAACUACUCGAGGCUCGAGGGCAGAACCUGACAAUAUGACCUUGGUCACCACAACCAUAACAUUCCCUCGGUUGCUGAGACUGCUGGCCUUGUCGACCGCUAUGUCCUCCCCUGAAGCUAUGAAGUGGCGGUGCACUAAUGAGGGCUGGUGGUGCACUGAAGGACUGCUGGUCCGAAUAAUUCUGCUGAGGACCACCACCACCUGGAGUACCAUGAUAAACCUAAAGUGCCGACUGGAAGGGCCUCGGGGGAUGGCCUCUAUCAUAGGAAUCCCUACCUCCAGAUGAGGUACCACUAAAUCUACCAGAAUGUCGAGGCCUCUUGUUUGAACCCUGACUACCUCCUCGAACAAGUGCCAUCUCUACCUGGCGGGCCGCAUUGGACACCUUCUGAAAGGAAAUAUCACUGCCAACUCCCAUAGCCAUCUGAAGGCGAAUCGGCUGAAUCAAUCCAUCAAUGAACCUCCGGACCCUCUCUCGCUCCGUAGGGAGUAUCACAACUACAUGGCUUGCCAAAUCAAUAAAUCUAGUCUCAUACUGUGUAAGUGUCAUGGAGCCCUGCUGGAGGCACUCAAACUGUCUGCGAAGUACCUCCCGCUGAGUGACGGGGAGAAAAUUCUCCAAAAAUAACUCUGUAAACUGACCCCAUGUCAAAGGUGGAGACCCUACUUGUCUAGAUAGGAAAUAAUCUCUCCACCAAGUCUUGGCGGAUCCUGCUAGUCUGAAGGUUCAAAAAUUGACCCCAUUGAUCUCCACUAUACCCAUAGUCAUGAGGAUAUCAUGACAACUGAAUCGAAAUCCUAGGGAUCUUCCGAUUAAGCACCAUUGAAAGUGGUGGUAAAAAUCUUGGAGAACCGAUCAAGUCUCCACAAAGCAUCCGAAGACAUGGCCGUCCCAUCUCCGACCUGAGUUGUAAUACCUGUCUGAGCUGCCACUACGGGUUGAACCACUGGAACCUGAGUCCGGGGAGCUACCUGCUCCGGAGUACGUAUAGCAGGAGUCUGAACCACUGCUCCAGCCUGAGAAGUGGCUGGUGCUACUGGCAGUAAUCCUGCCUUAGUGACACUGUCCAUAAAGCCUACUAUAUGGACGAGAGCAUCCUGCAGAUCCGAGGAAAACAUAACCCCUCAUGGGACCUGAGCUGGGCCCACUGGAGCUGGUGGGGCUGGAACCUCCUCAUCGAAAUCAAUAUGGGGUUCCACCUCUGGAACUGCUGCCUGGGGCUGAGCUUUUCCCCUACCACGGCCUUUGGCACGACCUCGGCCCCUGCCCCUCACGGGAGCUGCUGCUGCGCACGUGUUCUCGCCAUAUGCGAAAGAAAAGAGUAGAAUGACAAUCAAUAUUUGAGAAACAGAAUCACAUGACAAGAAUGAAAAAAGUGAAAUUUUUUCAUAACUCUGUAGCCUUUGAGGGAUAAAUACAGCCGUCUUCGCACCGAUAUCUCAGACUCUACCGAGCUUGUCCGUGAGUUGUGAGACCCUAGUAACAUAGUGCUCUGAUACCAACUUGUCACGAUCCAGAUUUUCCCACCAUCAGGAGUCAUGAUGGCGCCUACUGUCGAAGCUAGGCAAGCCAACAUUUUUAAACAUUUCACAAAACUUUAAUCUAAAACAUCUUAAUAACUGAAAUAAUUAAUUAAAAAACCACGCCGACAACUUUUAACAAAAAUAAUAAUAGUAAAGUGCAGAAAUUUGUGACAUGUCUCUACUCAGUAUCCGCUGUCACUACUCACGGACUACUAAAAGAGUACUAAAAACAUCAGUCUGAAAGAAAAUACAUAACAAGUCUGUUUCGAUACAAUGAAAACAAACAGAAAGAAAUAGAUGAGACUUAGGGCCCGCGAAGGCCAUCGAUCUACCUCGGAGUCUCUGGACUGAAGGCUCGCUCCCUAACUACUGUUGCGGUCCGUAAGCUGUAUCCUGACCUAUGCACAAAAGGCAUAGAAGUGUAGCAUCAGCACAACUAACCCCAUGUGCCGAUAAGUGCCUGGCCUAACCCCGGCGAGGUAGUGACGAGGCUACACCGGACCUACCACAAUUAACCUGUACAGAUAUAUGUGCAAUAACGAAAAGAUAAUAAAAUUUAAAUAGCUAACGGGGAGGGGACAUGAUGGGGGUGUAACAGUUUAAUUAUAGGUCCAACAAACAAGAAAUGGAAAUUGAAUAUUUAACAUCAAUAUAAGAAAGCAAGUGAAUCAACAACUGCACGACACCAACUUUCGUGCUUUUACUCUCAUUCUCACCAAAACUGUCAAAUAUAAUGCACGACAUCAUCUUUCAUGUUUUUCUAACCAAAACUAUCAAAUGUAGUGCACGACAUCACCCUUCAUGCUUUCCUCACAUAACUCUCACAUCAAGGCACGGAAUGACCCUUCGUUCUCAAAUAAUCAAGAAACAGGGCACGGAAAGGCCCUUCGUGCAUAAUUAUCAAAACAUGACACGGAAAGACCCUUCGUGCAAAAUUAUCAAAACAUGGCACGGAAAGACCCUUCGUGCAUAAUCUCUCUCUUCCUCACCCAAUCAACGGUCACAACCAAAUGGGAAAGGAAUAGUAAUUAACACAAUUGCUCACUUCUUUCGAAUUUUAAAACUAAUUGUGAUUCUUGGUCAUGCUAGACUCGGGCGCAUAGGUAACCGUCACCAUACCUAUACACCUACUCCACAUAGCACAUAUCAAAUAUUAUCUUAAUCCUAUUCCCUCAAGCCAAAGUUAGAAUAAGCACUUACCUCGAAAGCUUCCAACUCAACUCACGCCUCUAGAGUAGCUUUACCCCUCGAAUUCGCUUCAAAACCAGUCGAAUCCAACCACAAUUUAUUCAAAUAUAUUAACAAAUGCUGGUUGAAUCAAUUUUAAUGCAAACGAAUGAAAUUCCCAAAGUUUUACUCAAAAUUUCCAAAAUGCCCCCAAGCCCAUGUGGUCAAAACUCGAUAAAUGCAUUUUCUAACUUUCUUCCAAAAAUACCAAAAUCCGACACCGGGCCCACAUGUUCCAAACUAGAGGUUCGGACAAAAUUCCGAUUACCCAUAACCCCAAGAGUCCAAAUAAAUGAUUUGUUUUAAGAUUUGACCCUAAAUUGAGGUUGAAUCGCCCAAAAUUCUCAAAAACCAAAAUCUACCCAAAAGCCCUAAUUUCUACCAUGAUUUCAUGUUUUAGGGUUAGAUAAUUGAUGUUUAGAUGAAGGAAGCAAGAAGAAAUGAAGUUACAAUUACUUACCCAAAGAACUAUGAAGAAAUGGGAACUUGAAUUUCGUCCAAUGGAGGAUUUAGUAAGAGCUCGUGUGAGAAUUUGGGAAGAAAUCCCGUCAUUGUUCUGUUUUUAAGCUUUUAAAAUCACUGGGCGAAAUUAGUCUAUGCGAUCGCGGGGAAACUGAUGCGAUCGCAUAGGGGAGUGGGAAACUAGCUUAUGCGAUCGCAGACAAGUUAAUGCGAACGCAUAGAAGAGAGGGAAGCUAGAGUUCCAGGUGAGGCUUAAUACUGUGCGAUCGCGUAGAAGGGGAUGCGAUCGCAUUGAAGAGGCUGGCCAAGCUAUGUGAUCGCGUACUAAGGAAUGCAAUUGCAUUGAACAAAGUGGGAGGGCUGAUAAGGGACUCUAUGCGAUCGCAAACAAGCCUAUGCGAUCACAUAGAGGAAAAGACCUGAGUAAAAAAUGCAGAAAAGCUGCCAAGUUUUUAAGAACAAAACACCCGAACUACCCCCGAAAUCACUCCCGAGCCCUCGGGGCUCCCAACCAACCACACAUACUAACUCAAUAUCAUCCUACAAACUUGCUUGGGCGAUCAAGUCGCCAAUAUAACAUCAAAAUCAAAGAAUCAACCUUCAAAACUCCUAAUUUUCAUUUCAAAGUUCAAAACUUUAAAAUUUUCCAUUUUUAGUCCAAAACAAAUCAAAUGACGUCUGUUUUCAACCAAACUUUACAGAUAGUGCUUAACACUCAUUUAAUACUUUUACCAGGCAUCGAAACCAAAAUAUGAGCCCGACACCAAUACUUUUGAUCAAAUCUCAUUUUCAUUUUUCUUUAAGAAUUUUUAGAAAACAAUUUCACGGAAAAAUUCCGUACUCGGGCCUGGGACCUUGGAUUUCAAUUUCGGGAAUACGCACGAGUCGCAUAUUUUCCUACAGACCCUCUAGGACCGUCACAGUACGGGUCCGGGUCCGUUUACCCAAAAUGUUGACCAAAGUCAACUAUAGCAAUUUUAUUAUCAAAAUUCAUAAAUUUUAUCACAGAAUUCAAGUAUUUACAAAUAAAAGUUUUUCGGCUUCGCAUCUGGACUACGCACGCAAAUUAAGAAAGCCAACUAAUAGGUUUUCAAGGCCUCAGAAGCAAAAAAGGGAGAAUUACUGAUGACCCUUUGGGUCGUCACACAAAUGCUCCAGCUGCAUUCAUGGACCUCAUGAACAGAAUUUUCAAACCAUUCUUGGAUACCUUUAUUAUUGUGUUUAUAGACGAUAUUUUGGUGUACUCUUACAUCAAGGAAGAUCAUGCACAACACCUCAGAAUAGCCUUGCUGACCUUGAAGGAGAAUGAACUUUAUGCAAAGUUUUCAAAAUGUGACUUUUGGUUGCAGUCAAUGGCAUUCUUAGGCCACGUGGUAUCUAGUGAAGGAAUUAAAGUAGACCCUCAGAAGACAGAAGCAGUCAAGAACUGCCCUAGGCCGACAAUGCCAACCGUAAUCAGGAGUUUCUUGGGGUUAGAUGGCUAUUAUAGAAGGUUUGUGGAGGGAUUUUCCUUACUUGCAGCUCCAUUAAAUAAGUUUGACUCAGAAAUCAGUCAAGUUCCAAUGGCCAGAUGUUUGUGACAGAGUUUUCAAGAGUUAAAGAAGAGAUUGAGCAAUGCACAUGUGUUAACCUUGCGGACAGGCUCAUGUGGAUUCAUAGUGUAUUGUGACGCCUCCAAAGUGGGCCUUGGUUGCGUUAUUAUGCAAAAUGGAAAAGUUAUCACUUAUGCUUCCAAGCAGUGAAAGAAUCAUGAAAAGAACUACCCCACACACGACUUGGAGCUUGCAGCAGUGGUGUUUGCAUUAAAGAGAUGACAAAAUUACCUUUAUGGCGAGCAUUCUGAAUUGUUUACAGACCACAAAGGCCUCCAGUACAUUUUCAAGCAAAAAGAACUAAAUUUGAGACAGAGAAGGUGCUUGAGCUAUUGAAAGAUUAUGACAUCAAUAUCCUUUAUCACCCCAGCAAAGCUAAUACGGUAGCGGAUGCACUUAGUAGGAAGUUAAUGGGCGUUUUGGCCCAUCUUACAGAACAAAGGCAAUCUUUGGGUCGAGAAAUUUUAAAACUGGUAAAUGAUGGAAUUAGAUUGGAUGAGACCGAAGAAGGAGAUAUAACUGCUUAUGCCUUAGUGCAAUCCUCCCUUGUUGCGCAUGUUAAGUCUAUGCAAGACGAAGAUCUGUACUUAGUGAGAUUAAAAGAAGGAGACAGGAACAAAGAAAUCACUGCUUUCACUGUAUGAAGUGAUGGAGUUUUGAAGUUGAAUGAUCGAUUAUGUGUGCCUAAUGUAGGUGGUCUUACGAAGGCCAUAAUGGAGGAAGCUCACAGUUCGAGGUACUCUAUCCACCCAGGUACUACCAAAAUGUAUCAAGAUUUGAAAGAGUUGUACUGGUGGAAAGUCAUGAAGAAACAACUAGUAGAUCAUGUGGCUAAAUGUUUAAAUUGCAAGCAAGUCAAAGCCGAGCAUCAAAGGCCUAGUGGCCUAGCUCAAGACAUAGAGAUACCACAAUGGAAGUGGGAGAUGAUUAAUAUGGAUUUCGUAGUAGGUCUACCUCGCACAUACCAUAAACAUGAUUCAAUUUGGGUUAUUGUAGACCGACUGACAAAGUCCGCGCAUAUCUUACCAGUAAAGACGACAGAUUCCACAGAGCAGUAUGAGUAGUUGUACAUAAAGGAAAUAGUCCGAUUGCAUGGUACUCCGGUUUCAAUCAUAUAUGACAGAGGCCCUCAGUUCACGGCGCAUUUUUGGAUUCCGCAAAGUAGUAUGCGCAGUUGUACAUCAAAGAAAUAGUCUGAUUGUAUGGUACUCCAGUUUCAAUCGUAUCGGAUAGAGGCCCUCAGUUCACAAUGCAUUUUUGGCAGGCAUUUCAGAAAGAUUAGGUAUCAAGGUCAAUUUAUGCACCGCUUUUCAUCCAUAGACUGAUAGCCAGGCAGAAAGGACCAUUCAGACUCUCAAAGAUAUGCUGCAUGCCUGUGUUAUAGAUUUUGGAGGUAAUUGGGAUGAUCACUUGACACUUAUAGAAUUUACUUACAAUAACAACUAUCAGACCAGCAUUGGUAUGGCUCCUUAUGAAGCGUUGUAUGGGUGGAGAUGUAGGUCUCUGGUGGGAUGGUUUGAACCAGCAGAGGUGCCGUUGAUUGGUCUAGAGUUUGUUUGUGAGGCCUUCGAGAAAGUUCAGCUAAUUAGAGAAAGACUUAAAGCGGCUCAGAGUCGUCAAAAUUCUUAUUCUGACAAGAGGCAUCGUGAGUUAGACUUCAUGGUUGGUGAUAAGGUGUUUUUGAAAGUUUCACCGAUGGAAGGAGUCAUGAGGUUUGGUAAGAAAGGGAAACUUAGCCCUAGAUUAUCUGACCUUAUGAAAUUCUAGAAAAGAAAGGAAACCUGGCUUAUAAACUAGCGCUACCUGUUGAGUUGUCCUCUGUUCAUCCUGUCUUUCAUGUGUCUAUGCUUAGAAAGUACAUUCAUGAUGAGUCACAUAUAAUGCCUGCCUAUACCGUAGAAAUUAAAGAAGGCCUGACUUGUGAAGAGGCACCUAUAGAAAUUACGAUAGGCAAGUAAGAAAGUCUAGAACAAAAUAUAUAGCAUCCGUAAAGAUAUUGUGGAGUAAUCAUGAUUCAAAAGAUAGGCAAGUAAGGAAAUUGAUAACAAAAGAUUUAGCAUCGGUAAAAGUUCUGUGGAGUAAUCAUGAUUCAAAAGAAGCUACGUGGGAGGCCGAGGAAGAUAUGAAGAAGAAGUAUUCUUAUUUAUUUAGGUAACAAGGUGUGUGAACCAAGAUUUGUCUUGACAUAUAUAUUUCAUUUAUUAAAUACAAGUUAGCAAGUGCAUAUUUCCUUCCUAGAUUAUACUUAGUUGUUGUAGUAAUUUGGUUUAUGCCGCAGUAUAUUUAAUUCAUUAAAGUAAUUUACUUGUGCUAAAAUUGUUUUGCUUUAGAUUCUUGUUAGUUAUUGUGGUAGCUCUUUGCCGGAGUGUGAGUAAUUAAUUUAUAAACUGUGUAUGGUUCCUAUGAAUGGCCUGUUAUGGCAUAUUUGGUUGUUUUUUUGGCAAUCCACUAGGCAAGCGCCUAGGGAUAGUUUUUAUUAAUAUAAUAAAAAUAAAAAUUACAACAAAUAGGAAAAAUAAAAUAAGGGGGGAUAGCACCGGUAUUGUUACCCAUAUAACAAUAACCAGCGUAAACCAUACCUUAUUAAUCCUAUUGAGGCCAAUAAAAGCCUCAUGAACUAACAAGCCUGAAAAAAGAAAGAAGUAGCAAGAAUUAAGAAAAGUAUGAUCAUCCCUGAGUUUAUAACAUGCUCUGUGAUGAUAUUACAUUGAAAAAUACUAAUGAGAUGGAAAUAUAAAAAGUUGAAGAAGCCGUCUUGGUGCUCUCUUUUCUCCAAUUUUGUGAAAAUUUUAAUUUGUAGCUUAAAGUCUUCGUCCACAAUUUUUCUCAAUAUGACUUCAAAAUUCAUGCUUUGUCCCUCGAUCACUUGUUAUAAUUGUUUGAGUGACCUGUUUUUGUUUUGCAUUUCUCAUUGGAGGUCUUCUUAUGUUUAAGUUGCAUCCGACACUUUCGUCUCCUCCAAAGUAGUGAUUGAUUUUAUUGGUACAAUCUGAUUCUGCGCAGAUGUUGGCAGUGCUGUUGCGUUGUGAACAAUAGCUUAUGUUUUGCCUGAUUUUGUAGUAUUUUGUGGAACAAAUACUGGAGCAUUAUUGUUCAAGUUGAUGUUUAUGUUUGCUGUAGGUUUCAUAUUUGCAGGACCAUUGAUUGUCGCUGAUUUCCUUUGAAAUUUUGGCUUGAAUUGAGCAUCAAUGUCCUCUCCUUCACUGUCAUCGUCAAACUCUUGGUCGUCUUAUGAAGAUGAAUAACCAGCAAGUCCUUCUCCCCAGCCCUCGUCAUCAUCAAAUUCUCUUUGGUCUUUCCAUAGUUUGGAUUUAAUGACCAUGUCCCUCAUGUUAACAAAUACUUGUUUGUUAUUUCCAUUGCACUAUCGUUGUCAAACUCUUGGUCGUCUUCGCAAGAUAAAUAACCACGUCCCUCAUGUUAACAAGUACUGGUUUGUUAUUUCCAGUGGAGGUUGAUGGUUCUCCAUAAUCUUUGAUAGUUGUCUCCACAUGUGUACUGGAGGAAGGUAUGAUUGGAGAAAACUGAUCAUUGGCCAUCUGCAUAUUCUGUCCAGUCAAGAUUGCAUCCACAUUAUUGACAUUUGAAAGUGCAGCAAAUGAGUUUGGAAUUGUAUGUAGAGAUGGACUCUUAUCUGCGCUGGAUGUGGUCCAUCUGCAUAUUCUGUCCAGUGAAGAUUGCAUCCUCAUUAUUGACAUUUGAAAGUGCAGCAAAUGAGUUUUGAAUUGUAUGUAGAGCUGGGCUCUUAUCUGCGCUGUGUGUUUUGUUUUUGGUUUUUGAAGUUGCUUUUUUAUUGGACAAAGAUGACCAGUUAUUUAUAGACUGUUGGGCAGCUUCACUUGUUUGUUGUGUAGCAGCAGGAGGAUGUAAAUCAAAACCACGCUGGCGAAAGGCUUCAUUAGAAACUGCAGCUGUUGUAUCUAUCAAAGAGGUCACACUGCCUUGUUGAACCAUAUCAGGCUGAUUAGAGGUAUCUUGUCGAAAUGUGUUCUGCGCAACCUCAUCAUCUGUAAGACUUGCUGAUAUUUGCACUUUGUCUUAAGAAUUUGAUCUACACUAGCUGGUACAUUUUCCUCCCCUGCUACCAGCUGCUACACAUUGCAGUUGAGAUGCUGUCCUUUGUGAGUUUCCCCUUUUCUGGUAUGCUCAGAAGUAACCAAAACUGUUGCUUUAUUCAGUUCAUUACAAUGUUGUUGUCCAGGAUUUUUUGAAGCAUCAAGUAAAUUUCUUACUGUCGACUUUUCCCCUGGUUGAACCCUCCCCUGCUACUAGCUGCUGCACAUUGCACAUGUGAUGCUGUCCUCUGUGAAUUUCAGCUGUUUUGGUAUGCUCAGAAGUAACCAAAGUUGAUGCUUUAUUCAGUUCAUUACAAAGUUGUUGUCCAGGAAUUUUUGAAGCAUCAAGUAAAUUUCUUACAGUCGACUUUUCCCCUGGUUGAACUGUUAAACCAGUAGGAUCUGUAGAAGAUCUGAAAUCAUCUGAAACCUACAAAAUAGUAGCAUUUGCUUGAUUAAACUGUAUUGUGUUUUUAUUGUUAGUAUUCUGCAAUAUCUGCUGCUGCUCAAUCAGCAUCUCUUCAUGUCUUUUUGUAUUGUCAGAUUCUUGUACAUUAGAUGGAUCACUAGGUUGCAAAUCUGAUACCAUCUUUUCAGUCACAACAAAAGGCAAAAUCAAUGAAACAGUAGAUUGCAUUUUACAAAACUGGGCAGAAUCACCCUUUGGCCUUGGGAGAGUUUCUGCAGGUGUAACAUUUGAGUUGGUGUAGUUGUGGUAUUUGUGACAGGGAUAUUUUUUUGGAUAGUCUAAUUUAUAAGGGAAACUCUGCCAAAAUUUUUGAAAAUUUAGGGAGUUAGCCAAUAUUUUGAGUCCCUUAGAAAAGUGAAUAGUGCUAAGAAAACUUAAGAGGUUCAGGGACCUAAGUUAUGAUUAUUAGCUUAAGAAUAAAGCCCUAGCAACAUUCGAGGACGAAUGUUUUGAAGGAAGGAAGAUUGUAACACUCUCCAAAUUUUUAAAAAAAGUUUCGAGACACACUAAGUAUGGAUAUAAAUUAUUACCAUUUUUAUUAUUUUUACCUUAUAUAUAUAUAUAUAGACACACACACAUUGGAUAUAUAAUUAUAAAAAUAUAAUAGUUUUAAUAUUAUUAAUUAUUAAAAGUGGGUAUCAUUAAUUAUUAGUUAAGUUUAAAAAAAAAGAAAAAAAAAGGAAAGAGGACAAGUUUCUAAAAGGCUUAAAGCCUUAAACAAAUAAAACUAAAAAGCCUGAAGGCUAAAGAGCCGUAACAGAACAAAAGGCUUCAUUCAGCAAAGGCAAAAAGGCUAAGAAUUCUUAUAUGAUAAACUGAAGACGAUCACUACGAACAGAGGCAGAGACUCACGCAGUCAACGAAAAAAAAUUCUAGGGUUCUUCAUAACUCACUUAUUCUUGAACUCAGGUAUGUAAAAUUCCCUAUUGUCAAUUACCCUAUAGUAGUAUUAGCUAAGAAUUGAGUAGCUAAUUCCCUUCUUCCUCUAUAUCAUCAAUAAAUUUCAUAUUUAGGUGUAGUAUUUCAAAAUUGAUUAAAAUACACCGAUUAUUAUAGAAUCGAUUGUUUGACUGGUGUCAACUGGACUGGGGCCUACAUAUUGGCUCGAAAAGUUUUGAAGUGAGUUGAUAUAACCCUUUACUACUCACAAAAGCACACAUAUAAAGUAUUUGAUGAAUUGCUUAAAAGAGUUUAUCUUUAUUUAAUUAGAGUGCGUGAGUACCCAUUAAUCUAGAAUUGUUCUAGCAAAAGUUUAGAUGAUCUAUUAUGUUAUAUGUGCUUAAAUUUUCAUAUUUUUGUGUUAAGAAAGAAUCUUUAGAAAUAUUUUUAUAUAUUUAUUUCAUUCUUAUGCCAUUCUUACAUUUAAGGACACCAAUACAAGCAUGUGCAUAAUAUUCUAUAAAGAAAAGAUUUAGACUUGAGAAGUCACAAGAAGAAGUUUUAGAAUGAAAAGAUUUUUGGGGAGUAUCCUUUAUUCUGAGAAGGGGUCAUCGUCCAGGCCAUUGAAAGGGCACAAGAAGAAGUUUUAGAAAGAAAAGAUUUUUGGGGAGUAUCCUUUAUUUUGAGAAGGGGUCAUCGUCCAGGCCGAGGGUCCUGACAAAGACGUUGACUUCCUGAAACUACUUGUGCCAAAGUAAGGAGCACACGAGCCGAGGGUCUCGUUGCUGAGAAUUUACUUAGCCAUGCUAAGGUAUGAUAAAUGAGCGCUGAGAACCAUGAAGCGAGUGGCACCUCAUGGAUAGGGCCUAUUCGAUCAGGUUGGGAUCGAACCCGUGCCGGUCACACGGUGACUAAGACAGAAUUAAGUCAGGAUAGUUGGAACUCCCAAAUAUAAAGUGAAGUAUUUUUUUUAGAAAGAAAAAGAAAAGAAUUUAUUUUAGAAUAUUCAUAAAUUGCUAUUAUGCAAUUAUUUUAGAAAUUUCGUAUAAGCUUUAUGUUUUACAUGCAUUUAAAACCUUUGCUCAUAAUGUAUAUGUUAUUAAAGUUUCGUCCCUUGUUAUUGAGACUCACUAAGUACAAUGGAUAUAUAAGCUUUAUAUUUAACAUGCAUUUAGAACCUUAGCUCGUGAUGUAUAUGUUAUUAAAAUUUCUUGCCUAUUGUUGAGACUAACUGAUAGAAUGGAUGGUACUGACGUUCUCUUUGGGAACCUACGUUGGUCUGCGGUACAAUGUAGGAACCGGAUUUGCGCGAGCAGGCUACGAGUUAGGACUUCAUAUUGGUGAGCUCCGCUUUUGUUCGUGGAGUACUCUUAGAUUCAUUUUCAUUUAGUUAUUUUCUUGUUUAUUUAGAGAACCGGCCAGAAAAUCUGUGUCUUGAGUAGUGCGUCAGUUUAUCAGUAGAGGCUUCGUAGACAUAGUCACUGGGUUGAGAUUCAAAUGUUAUUUUAUAAUAACUUUGCAGCAAUUCAGUAGUUCCUACGAAUAAAGCUUUGGAGUUGAUCUAUUUAAAUCUUUGAAUUAAUCAAAAGUAUUUGGUUAGAGUAUUGCUUUGUUGUAUAUAAAGUUUGGAGUUAUAAUAUGUUUGAUAAGCAAUGAUGGUUCGCUCAGUCAUAUUUAGUGAAUGAGUGCCGGUCUCGGCUUGUUCAGACAAUUGGUCGUGACAGUAAGCUCUAAAAUGUUCUCUGAACUCUGAUACUUUAUGAAAGUACCAGUUAACUAACUCUCUGACGAAAAAAUGAACCAACAGGCCACCGCCACAAAGUCAGAAAUUAAGCAAUCAAAGCCUUAUAAAAGAAAAAAAAAAUCAGUUGCAUGAUUGUGUCAUGUUCAGCCUAUCAUCAUUUCCGAUUGCAAGAAUGGCAUCCACAACAUGGGUGCAAAGAAUUCCUUUUCACCUCCAAUAAGCUUCGACGACAGAGUCGUAGCAGCACACUUUGCAAGCAGAGUUUUCUUUUCUUCCAAACUUUUUCCCUCAAUGCUAACAGCCAAUUCUUUUACCUUCUCUAUUGCCUAUAUAAUCAAUAUCAAAUUACUCAAUGAACUAUGAUGACUAAACCAUCUGGGACAGUGAACAGAACAAAAGCGGAAAGACAGAGGAAUGAGCAAACAGGAGGAGGAAAAAUCUACCAUAUUAGAAGCGGUUCGAUAACUGCGAAUAAGAUUUUGAGGGUGGACACCCUCUUCAAUAAAAGGCUUGGCUUCCUUCAAAAAUUCUCCUGCAAGCAGAACUACUGUAGUGGUUCCAUCACCAACCUGCAGACAUCGACAAGGCACUACAAAUGAAGAAGCGGUGGAGGGUAUCCAUAUAUGUUGUUCAGGUCAAUUCAAAAAUACAGAAAUAACUCGAACCAAACAAUCAUGCAACAAUAAAACAAUCUUAUAGAAAGGGCUGGAGGGGAUCCGUAUAUGUUGUUCAGGUCAAUUCAAAAAUGCAGAAAUAACUCGAACUAAACGAUCAUGCAACAAUAAAACAAUCGUAUAACACAGCUUAUUAUGGACUCCAUUCAGUCAAAAGACCAAAUCAACAAGUUGUGGAUUUACAUAACAUAUAAUCAAUUGCAAAUUUGCAAUACUAUAUCUUCAACUGUUAGUUUACUGUUCUAUUCUCCAAAUUUUUACAAGACCUGAAACAUUUGUGGACAAGCUGCAUUCGAUUGGAUAAAACAAAGAGCACUGUGGUUAUAAGAUAUUCCCCUCGAUCUUAGCCAAAAGGCCGAGAGAUAUGAUCACCAUAGUAUAAAAAGAUAGAGUUUAUAACAUUUACUGCUCUCUAAGCUUCCUUAAGCUAAAAGCUACUUUGAUUGUGAGGUUAGGACAAAGAAGCCUGGGUGAACUUCAUAAUAUUUUUCUUCCAUCUCUUCACCUUUUUUCCCUCUUGUUAUAAUGCACUUUUUAUCAUUUUCAGAGCAGCUUCCUUUUCUUUAUGACAUUUCAACCUACAGUUGCCACCUAGAUUAUCAGCUUGGAAGCCAAUGCCCAAAAGAACCCCAUAUAAAGCACACCAUUUUCUUUCUUUUCUCUCUUUCCUUUUCCCCUAAUACUAGUUAAUACUCUAAAACUGUAAAAAUGAAAUGCUUCUGUCCUCCUCUGGCAUUGACUGUGAUCAGUUGGCCAGAUAAUGACACAACGAAGCUGCUUUCUUUACAUCUUAUUUGGCUAGAAAGUUAUUCGAAUACUUAGAUAGCUUUAAAACAAUCAAAAAAUGAUAUGGGUUAAUCGGAAUCAAGGGUAAUGUGAUCUAGAGAAUAUUAGAUGAUAGAAAUCAGUGAUUAUAAUGUAAAAAUCGAGAUGUAAGAGCAGUAAGAUGUAUAACAGGCUUUUGCACAAGAGAGAGAGUUAUAUAUUUUCAGUAAAGAAAUACACAUGAGUCCUUACAAAGGGAGAAGGUCCCCUUUAUAUACUAAGGGACCUUCUACGAAAUAAUACAAAGAAAUUACAAGAGUUGGUGGCCUCGAUAUACGAGUUUCAGAGCUUGAUGUGGCAUUACAACGAGUUACGUCACUCGGUCCGUUUAUUGACUGGGGCCGGCCUUACAUACGUCGACCACGAUAAGGCGGCUUUCUUUAGUGAGGCCGUAUGCGGAUAAUAUGUGGGCGCAGGGAACAAAAUUUGCUCAAUACAGAUAGUCUCUCCGUUUGUUGGGGACACAGUCGAAAGGCGUUUUAAAUGAACGGACAUGCGUCCACGGCGCCUAUGGAAAUUUGGUCAUUCCUGCUGAUACCUCUGUGAGAGAUGCACUCGUGUAUGAAGAGGUCAUGCCGUUGACAUGUUGCCUCCUUUUUGGAAUGUCUUUUAAAGGUGACAUCAUCGAUCAUAUGCGUGAUCAUUACUUCUGCUCCCGAGGUGGUUCAGGUUAUAACAUGACGUUUGGGUUUCCUGCGGCGAUUUUGAAUCAUGCCCUUUCGAUUUCCGUGUACCUUUUCUAAUAAAUAGGAGGAGAGUUGGAUUAGGUUCAUCUUUUGAUCCUUUUCGGAGAGUAUUUUCUCAAUCUUUUCCCUAUCUUUUUUUGGUGCUCGCUAUUCUUUUCUUCUCUGAAAUUCUCAUUCUCAAGAAUCAAACAAGUGACCCGUAAUACCUUUUUCUUAUAUCAUUCACUAUGGCUAAACGUCGGCGUGACGAAACCAGAACCAGGGACGUUGUUUCCACCAGGGCUUCGUCAUCCUCGGACGCCGAGGAGGCCGAGGAAGUUCUUGUUCCUCUAUCAACGGCCAACCUGCUCCCACGCGAUAUGAGUAAAAGGAACGACUUUCUGAAUAAGCGUAAACUCCUCCCUUAUGAGCAUAGUGAGAUGAUGCUGUCCCACUUGGCCUCUCUCAGGGAGUCGUACGAUAUUCCCGAUCACGUUGACAUGGUUCCCGCGGGGCCAGACUAUGUUAACGUGCCUAAGACCGGGUAUUGUGACUUCUACGAGUACGCCUUCCGAAUUGGAUACACCAUUCCGAUUUAUCCUUUAGCGGAAGAGCUGUGUCACUGGUUUGGAGCAUGCCCGGCCCAACUUACCCGGUAUGCCUUGAAGGUUUGCGGGGUAGUAUCCAUUUACGCGGCUAAGGACGGAAAAGAGGUGACCGUUCAUCACCUCCUGCAAAUGUUCAAUGUGGUUUUCAUGAGAGGCUCGAUGCUCCCGUUGAGGAGUAGGGGCAAGAAGAGCUUCGUGGCGCGGGUGGACGACAAGGCUAACCGUAAAUUCUAGAUGAGGCUUUUCUACGUGUGUACCGAGCACCUUGUGUCUAACGAAGGGUUUCCAGAAGUGUGGAAUGACGCAUGUAAAUAUAGCCGUGCAUGAUGUUUACUAUUUUGACCUUACUUUGCUGGUUCUCACUGUCGAAAAUUUUCCUUUGUUUUCAUACAGUGGCUGCUCGCCCUCCUCGUAGGGUUGACGACAUUAGGUCGUGGGUACAAGCACUGAUACCGUUUGCAGAGGAAAGCCAUUCCUGGUCUGAAUUCCUUAGGCUCUACGGCUCAGCUGGUAACGGCUUUACCUGAUUUUUCUAAUGGUUUGGGGGCUCUUAUAAUUUCCUUGCCCAUCUCACAUGUGUUUUGGCAGGUCGGGACGCCUCUAAGAAGGAGAGGAAGAAGAAGCAGCAGCAGUAGAAGAAGACUGUGGCUGGUCCUUCUAGGACUGUAUCCGAUCCUUAGAAGGAUCUGGUCUUCGUCGGCACGUCUAGGGGCAGUGCUUCGCCCCCUUCAAGACAGGAGUGUAAGUUAGAAGCGACCCCCGAGAUAACAUCUGAGGCCGUGAUGGGGGUCGUACCUGAGACGACGCCCAUAGAGGUGCUGGUGGCUGUUAUUGAGAUUGCCCUUGUAAGGACGCCUUCUGCCGUGCCGACCCCCUCUGAGCCUGCUCUGCAUCCCGCGGUGGGGGACCGUGAAAAUGUGGAGACGUUUGAGAGGAGGCAUCGUCAGAUUCUCACUGGCAAGGCCGUGGCUACCCAGCCGAGAAAGGCUAGGCCAUCCCGCCCUGUAUCAAGCCGACCUUUAUUGCAGAGGCUAUUCGCUCAGGAAGAGCUGGUCUUAGGAGGGAGGCCGCAUCGAGGAGAUGCGAAGACAUGGACGUGGCAGGCUCGGGGACAGACACUGAGGGCGCAAACAGAGGAAGCAGGUCCUUGGACCGGGUGGAGAUGAUGGCCGGUCAAUCUUCUUGCAUAUAGUGAUCCCAAUUCACUAUAAUUUUUUGGAGAACUGUAAGGAGGCGGCCUCUAGUAUGGCACUCUUGUGCGCCGGUGCCGAGCGUGCGACCCUAGCGGAGCUUAGUGGUAAAGUCUUGGCCAAAGGGUGGCAGGUGAGACCCUACAGGUAUGCCUUUACCUUGCUUGAUGACCUUUCUUUUUGUAGAGUUAUGAUUUUCCCCUACUUACUCGGUUUCUUUUCCAGGCUCUUGUCUUGGAGGUGGAGAGGGAUCGGCGCCGGAAAGAGAAGAUGGCCAAAUACAACAGUCUGGCGCAGAAGUACAAUAAGACAUGCGAGGCGCAUCAAACCCUGGCCGAUAUGUACAAGCAGUACCCCAACUUUAGAGUGGUUCGCGAGGGCCUAGUGGAGUCCGAGGUGCAAUUGAAGAAAAGAGUGGCCGAGCUGGAAAAGGUUGAUGAACAACUCAUGGCCACUGUUGCUCGGUCCGCAGAGAUGGAGGUCCUUAUCCUGGCCAAGGACGAGGAGUUGCAACUCGGUCGUGUUGUUGUGGAGGAGGCGGCAGAAUUGCACACCCGGGUGGCGGCUCAAACGGAGGAACUCAAAGCCAACCGCUGUUGCUCGGGCCACGGAGAUGGAGCUCCUUACCCAGGCCAAGGACGAGGAGCUGCAACUCGGUCGUGUUGUGGUGGAGGAGGUGGCAAAAUUGCGCACUCGGGUGGAGGCUCUAACAGAGGAACUCAAAGCCACGAAGGUCGAGGUCGAGGAGCUUAAGCUAGAUCUCGCACAAGCUGAUACGUCUCGUGAGGAAUACGAGAAGUGGGUGUAUGCGGAGGCCAGGCUGGUCGUGCUUGAGGAAUUCCUGGCAGAUGGUCGAGCGUUUGAAGCGGAGGUUGAGAACCAGCGGCAACUGGUUAGAGUCGCUUGUGAGGAGGUCCUGAAUCACCGGCCUGGGAGAGGGGCAGCUCGGCAGACAUCUAUUGCUUGGAAUCCAGCUCUUGGAUUUCCAUGGCGUACCCUCCCGGAAAUGAGGACGGGCCACCUGAGGGCCAGGCCAGGUUACAUAUGUAGUGGUUUCUUAGGGUCUUUGUAAAUAUGCUUGUACAUACUUAUUUUUGUAUCAUGGGUGUUUGUUCCCUUUGGUAAAAACAUAUAAUUUUUUGUUGUACGUAAUCUUUUCUACCUUUUGGCAUGUCAUCAUACUUUUCUUUACCGUAGCUGCUUGAAAUUUGUCGGCCAUAGCUGUGUAAAGCUAUCCUGAUGGUUUUAGCCAUAUAAAAUUGGCGGUCGUAGCCUUGUGAAUAUGAUGGCGCUAGCCAUGUACAGAUAGAGGCCGUAGCCUGAGGAAAAUGAUGGCCAUAGCUAUGUAAAAUAAAGCCGUAGCCUGAUGGCCUUAGCCAUAUAAAAUGAUGGCCUUAGUCAAGCUAAAUAAAGGCCGUGGCCUAAUGGCCUUAGCCAUAUAAAACGAUGGCCUUAGCCAUGUAAAAUAAAGGUCGUAGUCUGAUUACCUUAGCCAUAUAAAAUGAUGGCCUUAGCCAUUCGAAAUAAAGCUCGUUGCCUAAUGGCCUUAGCCAUAUAAAAUGAUGGCCAUAGCCAUGUGAAAUAAAGGCCGUAGCCUGAUGGCCUUAGCCAUAUUAAACGAUGGCCUUAGCACUGUAAAAUAAAGGUCCUAGCCUAAUGGCCUUAGCCAUGCAAAUCGAUGGCCAUAGCCAUGUGAAAUAAAGGCCGUAGCCUAAUAGCCUUAGACUAAUAAAACGAUGGCUUUAGCCAUGUAAAAUAAAGGUCGUAACCUAAUGUCCUUAGCCAUGCAAAUCGAUAUCCAUAGCCAUGUGAACUAAAGUCCGUAGCCUAAUGGCCUUAGCCAUAUAAAACGAUAGCCUUAGCCAUGUAAAAUAAAGGCCGUAGCCUAGUGGCCUUAGCCAUGCAAAUCGAUGGCCAUAGCCAUGUGAAAUAAAGGUUGUAGCCCAAUGGCCUUAGCCAUAUAAAACGAUGGCCUUAGCCAUGUAAAAUAAAGGCCGUAAACUAAUAGCCUUAGCCAUGCAAAUCGAUGUCCAUAGCCAUGUGAAAUAAGUAUCGUAGCCUAAUGGACUUAGCCAUGUAAAAUAAAGGUCGUAGCUUAAUGGACUUAGCCAUAUAAAACGAUGGCCUUAGCCAUGUAAAAUAAAGGUUGUAGCCUAAUGGCCUUAGCCAUGCAUAUCGAUGGCCAUAGCCAUGUGAAAUAAAGGCCAUAGCCAUAUAAAAUGAUGGCCUUAACCUUUUCGUUGCUUUGGAGAUGGCCGUAGCCUUUUCAUUCAUUUGGAGAUUGUCGUAGCCUUUUCAUUCAUUUUGAGAUGGCCGUAGCCUUUUCAUUCAUUUGGAGAUGGCCGUAGCCUUUCUAUACACUUGGAGGUGGCCGUAGCCUUUUUAUUCAUUUGGAGAUGGCCGUAGCCUUUUCAUUCAUUUGGAGAUGGCCGUAGCCUUUAUAUACACUUGGAGGUGGCCGUAGACUUUCUAUACACUUGGAGGUGGCCGUAGCCUUUCUAUAUAUCAGGAGAUGACACUGAUCAAGUCCAUGUAUCAUGUCUGGCUUGGAGAGUAAAUGGAGAGGUGGACAUGAUGCACUUGCGCUACAAACAUCUCCAGGUGACCCCUUUGUCGCCUCGUUAAAAACCUUCCCGAGAAAACCGAAUUGGGACAAAACUUGGGUAAGGGAAAAAGAGUACGACUCAGGUGUCACCUUUUUAGAAGUGGAAACGUUUGAGGUGAGCGACGUUCCAGUUGUUUUGGAGCGUCCUUCCUUCCAUUGUCUCAAGCUGGAAUGCUCCUUUUCCGGAGGCCGCCGUGAUUUUGUAGGGUCCAUCCUAGUUUGUGCCCAAUUUUCCUUCACUUGGUUCUUUUGAGGCCAGAGUCUUGGCUUUGAGGACGUAAUCCCCUACUUUGAGCGGCCUUAUUUUUNNNNNNNNNNNNNNNNNNNNNNNNNNNNNNNNNNNNNNNNNNNNNNNNNNNNNNNNNNNNNNNNNNNNNNNNNNNNNNNNNNNNNNNNNNNNNNNNNNNNNNNNNNNNNNNNNNNNNNNNNNNNNNNNNNNCUUUUGACUUGUUGUUUUUGGGCUACCAUUCUGACGUGGGCCAUUUCUCUUCUUUCUUCGGCUUCAUCAAGAUCUUGGAGCCUGCCGAUGUCGUUUUCUGUUCCGCUGGUGUUUGAGUAUCUUAAGCUGGGUUCGCCCACUUCGACAGGUAUGACCGCAUCGGUUCCAUAGACCAGUGAGUAUGUGUUUCUCCGGUGCUGGAUUUGGGUGUGGUUCUGUGCGCCCACAAGACUUCGGGUAGUAGUUCGGGCUAUAGUCCCUUGGCAUCUUCGAGCUUCUUUUUGAGUAUGUUCAGGAUUGUUUUGUUGGAGGACUCCGCUUGACCGUUGGUGGCGGGGUGGUAUGGCGUGGAUAGUAUCCUUUUGAUACGCCAUUUUUCGAAGAACUUGGUCGUCUUCUGACUGAUGAACUAGCGCCCAUUAUCGCAGCUGAUUUCUUUGGGGAUGCCAAAAUGGCAUAUGAUGUUCUUACAAAUAAAGGUGAUGACUUCUUGCUCACGUAUUUAUGCGUAUGCACCUGCUUCCACCCACAUAGAGAAAUAGUCAGUUAAAACUAGUAAAAAUCGUACCUUUCCUCGUCCUGGGGGUAGCGGGCCGAUUAUGUCCAUCCCUCACUUGAUGAAUGGCUAGGGGGAUGUGACGGAAUGGAGGGGUUCUCUUGGUUGGUGUAUCAUUGGGGCAAACUUUUGCCACUGCUUGCAUCAGCGGACGUACUCUGCUGCCUCUUUCUUCAUGGUGAGCCAAUAGUAGCCGGCACGUAUGAUGAACUUAACGAGGGCGCAGUUGUCGGUGUGGCGCCGAAAUAGCCUUCGUGUACUUCUUCAAGUACAGGUCUUGCUUGUGGCGGUCCUAAGCACUUGGCUAGGGGGCCACCGAACGUUCUUUUAUAAAGGUCGUCAUUGAUCAUGCAGUAUCGGGCGGCCUAUACGCGGAGCUUUUUUGCUUCUUUUUUAUCAAGGGGGAGUAUCCCGUCCUGCAAGUAAGAUAUGAACUGGUUGCGCCAGUCCCAAGUCAGAAUUAAGGGACGUUCCUCAGUGUGAUCAAUAGCUGAGUGGAGGAGUGUGACCACACUCUCUUUGUUGACGCUUUUGGUGGCGGCAGCCAACUUUGCCAGGCCGUCCGCUUCGAUAUUUCGUGCUCUGGGAAUUUGUUCGAAGCGGCAUUCAUCGAAUUUAGUCAUCAGCCUAUGGAUUUCCGACUGGUACUUUUGUUCCGUGCUCUAGGAAUUUGUUCGAAGUGGCAUUCGUCGAAUGUAGUCAUCAACCUAUGGAUUUCUGACUGGUACCUUUGUAACCUCUAUUCCUUGAUUUGAUAAGUCCCAGUGAUCUGGUUUAUCACAAGCUGGGAGUCGCAGUGGAGGAGAAUUCAGCAAGCUCCAUACUUGGUGGCCAGCUUCAUGCCUGCAAUUAGGGCCUCGUACUCGGCCUCGUUGUUUGUCAUUUCUGGGCAACGUAUUGACUGGCGAAUCAUUUUGCCCGUGGGGACUUCAAGAACUAGGCCCAGUACCGAUCUCGAUGCAUUUGCGGCACCAUCCGUAUAAAGGACUCAUAGGUCAUUUUUGGAGGAUGUGCGUUGUGCCUCGAGUUCCGCCUUUGGCAGGAAUUUUGCGCUGAAGUUGGCGAUGAAGUCUGCUAAGACUUGUGACUUGAUGGCGGUUCUUGGGAGGUAUGUAAAAUCAUGCUCGUUGAGCUCGACGGCCCAUCUGGCGAGUCACCCUGAGAGUUCGGGUUUGUGCAGGACGCUCCUUAGAGGGAAGGUCGUCACCACCCGCAUGGGAUGGUACUAGAAAUACGGCCGUAGCUUUUGUGAAGCUACUACAAGUGCUAAGGCUAAUCUCUCAAGGUGGGGAUACCGGGUUUUGGCGUCCACUAAAGUUUUGCUGAUAUAGGGGCGAUGAUGAUAAGUAUGCUUUUAAGUUCCUCAGGGAUUCUACGCAUUCUCCAUUCCAUUGCAGUCCCUGGUCUUUUUUCAGUACACCAAAGAACUUGUGGCAUCUGUCAGAGGAGCAUGAGAUGAACCGGGAGAGGGCGUCUAUAUGGCUUGUUAAUUGUUGCACAUGCUUCUUGCUACUUAGCCUUUCGGGGAUGGCCUCUAUGGCUUAAGAUGAACCAGGAGAGGGCGGCUAUUCGGCCCGUUAAUUUCUACACCUGCUUCUUGCUGCUUAGCGUUUCUGGGAUGGCCUCUAUGGCUUUGAUUUGGUCAGGGUUGAAUUUGAUGCCCCUUUGUGAUACUAGAAAUCCCAGGAAUUUUCCCGACGCUACUCCAAAGGCGCACUUCUCGGGGUUCAGUUUCAUGCCGCACUUCCUUAGUAUUUCAAAGGAUUCCUUCAGGUGGAUGAGGUGGUCCUCAUUUUUCGAUGAUUUGAUCAGCAUGUCGUCGAUGUAGACCUCCAUUGUUUUGCCGAGUUGUGCUUUGAACAUUGUCUUCACCAGCCUCUGGUAAGUGGCCCCUGCGUUCUUGAGCCCGAAAGGCAUUACUUUAUAGCAAUACGUCCCCUGAUGGGUGAUAAAAGUUGUUUUCUCUUGAUCUUCUUCGUCUAUCAUGAUUUGAUUGUAGCCGGAAUACGCAUCAAGGAAGCUUAGCAGCUCAUGGCCUGCUGUUGCGUCUAUCAGCUGGUCGAUGUGGAGUAGCGGGAAAGAGUCUUUCAGGCACACUUUAUUUAGAUCAGUGAAAUCUACGCACAUCCGCCACAUUCCGUUCUUUUUUUUUUUACUAUUACGAUGUUGGCGACCCAUUCCGGGUACUUGGAUUCCCUGAUGGAGCCAUUGGCUAGCAAUUUGUCAACUUCUUCGCUCACUGCUUCGUUAAUGGUGGCAUUGAAUUUUCUUCUUAUCUGCCGCACGGGUGGGUGCAAUGGGUUGAUGUUGAAUUUAUGAGAGCCAAUUUCUCGUGGAAUUCUUGGCAUAUCUACAGUAGAAAAAGCAAACAGAUCCGCAUGGUUAGAUAAAAAUUCACGGUACUGACCUGGAUUUGAUAGGCCGUGGCCUAUGUAUGCUUUCUUUGCAGGGUCGCUGCUGUUUAGCUGAACAAGGUCGAGGUCUUCGACCGUAGCCUUGCUAGCCUCGACCUCCUCAGGAUCUUCGAUGGCGUUCUUUCUUGGAUGGACCUUAGUCCCUGACAGGGCUAAUUGCUAUGCUACUGCACUUGCUCCUUGGAGUUGCCUGGUAUGUGUGUAUUCCUGGGCUAUCUUAUAACAUUCUUGGGCGGUGCGGGGCUCUCCCAGUAUGCAGUGCACUCCCCAUGGGGUUGGGAAUUUGAUUACUUGGUAGAAGCUGGAGGGGACGCCUAUCAUGGCAUGUAUCCACGGGCGUCUGAUAAUGGCAUUGUAUGCUGUCUCUUGAUUCAUCACGUGGAAGGUAGUUUCCUUCGUGACUUCACCUGCAAGAAUGGGCAGCGUCACCUCGCCUGAGGUUCUUUCCACUGCAUUAUUAAAACCUGUUAGUGUGAUGCAGCGCAUGAUUAUUUUAUUCUCGAGUCCCAUGAAUGCGACGACUCUUGGGUGAAUGAUAUAUGUGCCGCUUCCAUCGUCGACCAUGAUCCUUUUAAAAUCAGUAUCUAGUAUGCAUAAAGUAAUAACUAAGGCAUCAUAAUGAGGAAAACACAAACCGUCGGCAUCAGACUUAUUGAAGGUGAUACUAUCUUAGUGGUAGACUUAUGGGGGUGCUUCCUUAGUGGUAGAUGUUGAAGCUUCUCUUUCUCAUGGCACCACCAGGUCUUCUGAUGAGGAGGGUAAGGCUUCCACACCUAUCAAUGUACUGGGGAUGUGUGUAGGCCAUCUCCUUCGGCAGCUGCGUUGAGAGUGCCCGUGAGGUCUGUUCUAUCCUCCAAGAUAGCCUUCAUUCUAGCGUUAUUCUCAGCCAUUUUAGGAUGUAGAUAGUGGCUUUUCGAAAGAUCUCUAGAAAUAAACUACAGCUUUGAUUCUCGAAAUCCCCCCAGACAGCGCCAAAUUAUUUGGAUAGAAAGUUAUUCGAAUACUUAGAUAGCUUCAAAAAAUGAUAUGUGUUAAUCGGAAUCAGGGGUGAUCUAGAGAAUGUUAGAUGAUAGAAAUAAGUGAUUAUAAUGUAAAAAUUGAGAUGUAAGAGUAGUAAGAUGUAUAACAGGCUUUUGCACAAGAGAGAGAGAGAGAGUUAUAUAUUUUCAGUAAUGAAAUACACAUGAGUCCUUACAAAGGGAGAAGGUCCCCUUUAUAUACUAAGGCACCUUCCUCGAAAUAAUACAAAGAAAGUACAAGAGUUGGUGGCCUCGAUAUACGAGUGUCAGAGCUUGAUGUGACGUUACAGCGAGUCACGUCACUCGGUCCGUUUAUUGACUAGGGCCAGCCUUACUUAGUUCCACCAGAUAAGGCCGAUUUCUUUAGUGAGGCCGUAUGCGGAUAAUAUGUGGGCAUAGGGAACCAAAUUUGCCCAAUACACAUUUCUUGUAUUAUCAGCAAAAGAAGUGCUUGUACCCACUAAGAUGAAACAACAUAAUAACACAGAUGAUAUCAUAUGCCGUGUAAGACAUGCCCUCCACUAUUCCACUACUUUCACGUGAACCCGUUCUCGCAAACUUUUCAAUAUCCCCGAAAAAUGACUUACUACACUGAUGCCCACCUGCUUUCAUAUCCAUGUAAAUUGACAAUUUAGAUGUCAAACCAAUAGUAAGUUUCCAUAUGUCCGCGUGUGACGACCCGACCCGCCGUCACGUGAGUUAGCGUCCCGUUUUCUCCAUUUUAUGCUUCUAUAUGCUUCAUUAUAUGUGCUUGUAGAGUUUGAAGUGAUUCAGACAGAGUGUAGUUAGAAUUGAGACGAUUAAUCUCUUUAAGAGAAGGCUAGUUUGGAAAAGUCAACCAAAAGUUGACUGAGUGGUUAGAGGUUGUGAAUUCUGGUGAUUCAGUUAGCUUUGGGGGAUGACUUUUUACUUAGGAGUGCGAUCGAAAUUGAAUUUGGAGGUCCGGUGUAGAAUUAGGCUUGAAUUGGCGAAGUUUGAAUUUUGGCAAAUUCCGGUUGGAAGGUGGUAUUUUCAUCCGAUGGGUGGAAUGGAAUUCUGAGAGUUGCAGUAGAUCCAUUAGGUUAUUUUGGAUAUGUGUGCAAAGUUUAAGGUCAUGUGAGAUUUUGAGCCGAGGGUUCGAAUGGAAUUCCGAUAGUUGCAGUAGCUUUGUUAGGUGAUUUUGGAUAUUUCUGCAAAUUUUCAGAUCAUUCGGACAUUGUUUGGUCGGGUUUUUGAUCGAAUGUGAGUUUCGGAAGUAAUAGUUGAACUUAGGCUUGAAUCCGUCGUGCAUUCAUGAAUUUUGUGUUGUUUGGCGCGUUUUUAUGAUUGAAACAAGUUCUUAUGAUGUUUUGGGGUAUGUUGGUACUUUUAGUUGAGGUCUCGAGGGCAUCGGGGUGGUUUCGAGUGGUCAAUCGGAGAUUGAUUGAUUUUUGGGAGUUGCAGAAAUCAGCAGAAAUGUUGUAGAGGAAUUUCCUCUAUGCGAUCACAUGAGAGGUAUUACGAUCGCAUAGGAGGCUGGGAGAGGGGUCUGUUUUUUUGUUAUGCAUUCGCACUAGGGGUAUGUGACCGCAUUGGUCUGGGAGAUUGAGCUAUGCGAUCGCACAAGGGGGUAUGCGUUCGCAUAGGGUUGUUGGGCCUAGGGUCCCAGGCACUGGUGUGUUUUACGCGAUCGCACGGAUGCUAUGCGAUCGCAUAAUGUUAUUUUGGGAAGGAGGAAGUUUGUGCUAUGCGAUCGCAAUGGAUGUGAUGUGAUCACAUAGAGUAAUAACUGGGCAGUCAGAAUGGUUUUAAAUUUAUUUCAUCCGCGACCUAUCUCAUUUUUCCUCCAUUUUUGCACCACCUUGAGAGCUUGUUGAUAGAUUUUGAAGGGGGUUUCAAGGGGAAGUGAUUGGAGGUAAGUCUCGUGGUCUAGAAACAUCAUUUAAUAGAAGAAUCAUCCAUUAAUUCUAUGAAUUUGGGUAUAAAAUUAAAGAAACUAGGGUUUGAGUUUUUGAUAUUUCAAAUUAGGAUUUGAUAGGUCAUUUAAGCUCAGAUUUGGGAGUUCUUGGUAUGUAUAAACUCGUGGCGCAACGAGGAUUCCGAAAAUGUAAGUUUCGUAAUUUUUCAAGAAGCGGGCUCAGGGCUCGGGUUUUGCUAGUUUCGAGGUUCUUGCUAUAUUUCGAUUGUUUUCGAUUGGGUGUUGUCCCAUUAGCAUAUUAUGAGAUAUUUGUACUGAUUUUGAUUAGCUUUGUCGCGCGUGGAGGCCAAUUUUAGGGGCAAAGGUAUCGCGAGCUUUAAAUUUUGCCAGUUCGAGGUGAGUAGUAGUUGGGAAUGAUAUCCUAAGGGUUUGAAACCCCGGAUUUGCACAUCUUACCGUUGCAUUGUGGUGACUUGCACGCUGGACCUAAGCGUGGGGUAGAGCACUGUUGGGGAUUGUGACUUGGUCCGUCCUGGUUGUUGGUUUUAACGCAAAAUUGUAAAUGAUUUGUUGUUAUCAUUAUGACUUGCGCUCAUUGCCAUACUUGGGGCUUAUUGCCGACUAUUUGAACUCUUUAUAAACUAUCAUCACAGUUUUCCUCACUAUUCGAAUGAUUAAUUGAACUCAGUCCAUGUGAUUUACACUGUUUCAUGAACUCAGUUAUAGUUUUCUAAAAUUUGGAGUUUUAACUGAUAUUUGAACUAUUGUUUUAGCUGAGUCUUAUUGUUUUACUGAUGCCCGAGGGGCUUUUUGACUAUUUUUGGACUAAUUGAGGCUGAGGGCCAUACGUGAAGGCAUGAAGAUGAUGUAAGGAGGCUUCAGGCCUCGAGUGUUAUGUGUACAUGUGCAUAUACAUGCAUGGAUCGGUGCACGCCGUAGUAGCAUAUUGCAUGGAUCGGGCUGUACGCUGCAGCGGUGUGAUAUUGCUAUUGCGCUUGGGCUGUAGGAGCCCCUCUGGAGUCUGAACCCCCAGAGUGAGCGCGGGUACCCAAAUGGAUCGGGCUACGCGCCGUAGCGGUCAUAUGCAUUGCAUUCAUGCAUUUACUCCUGCUUGUACUACGUGGCAUGACAUUUAGCACUCAUAUCGCAUUGGCAUACAUACUCUUACUUGCCUUGAUGACCAAAUACCCUGGUGUUAUAUGUUAAUGAGUGUUGAGCUCGAGAGGCUGAAGUUGGAUAUUGUGAGUUGGGAGUGAGCCCGCGGGGCUGAUACAGUACUGAGAGGUUGAUACUGAGCCCGAGAGGCAGGUUUCUGAUUACUUCCUACUUGUUGAAAUUACCUUUGCAACUGUUGAAAAAGAACAUUUUCAAAAGAGAUUUUUGAACAGAACUUGGGACUUUCUAAAGGGAUUUUCACAGUAUUUCGUUUUUUCUCAAUAAGGCUUGUUCUGUCUUUUGUAGCAGUUUGAUGUGCUCAUACGUGUUUUCUUAUCGCUCAGAUAUUAUUCUCUCUUAUUACCACUAAGUUGGAAGUACUCACUUUACUCCCUGCACCUCGCGUGCAAUUGCAAGUGCUAUUCACCCGGUAGUGGGUUAGUAGCAGAUCGAAGGUAUUGCUAUCGUAGCUAAGCUAGGUGACUGCCGGCGUUCGCGGCACCGAGAUUCUUCUUCUUUUUCUUGAUUCCCAGAUUUUACUCUAUGUAUUAUAGCCUUUUAAAUUUUAAUAAAGGCACUCUUAGAUGCUCGUGACUUGUGACACCCCGGUCGGGCUGUAUUGAGUUGUAUUUAUAUUGAUUAAUAUCAUUAUGUCAUAUUCAAACUGUUAUAUAACUGACUAACGGCUUUAAGUGAUGUUUUGAAAUGGUUUAGCUGGCCUUGUUUUCACGAGAUGCGCCAUCACGAUCGGAUUGAAUUGGAUCGUGACACCGCGUGAAUCUAAAGUUGCAAUCAGCCAAACUAGGGAAAAUACUUUUGUCACCAGGCCCAAGACUAUCCAAUGGGCCCAUGUUGUGGUUAUUUAAGGUCAUUUGAUGUAGGAAGUCGACAUUCAAAGGAAUUCUUCAAAACAGGCAAUCAAGUCAUUCUCCCUUAUACCAAAGCUCUGACUUCCAAAUUGUUUUGCUAGGAAACAUGUGGCAACCUAUUUUCAGACCCACUUAUCUUUGUUACCUUGACAGAAGAACCAGCUGACACAAUUAAAGAAGACCAGUCUACUGCAUCUUAUUCAAAGAAAAGAAAUGCUUAUGCAUUUUCUAGAACUUAACUAACCAUUCACUUUCUUCAUUUUUUUCGGGGUGAUAAGUGCUUAACAAGCAUCCUCCGCAGCUUACCAUAUUCCAGCUCUCCGGCUCACAAUGCUUUUACCAACUUUAUCUUCUAAAAGAGCAUGUAUUCAGGAUGACAACCGUAAAACUAACUGCCAACACUAGUUGUGCAGUACAAUGAUCAAAUUUUCCGAGCUCAUAAGUUCUACACUGCACAUACAGUCCAACUUAUGAGCCACAUCUUAUGUACAUUUGAAGUAAAAGCACUGCAAACAACUUUGAAUUUCAGAACUACACUAUUCAACUGAUAUAAUAGCAACAAAUAGCAUGAAUGCUGAGGCAGCAAAAUUACAAUUUACAGCAUACCUCAGAGUAAGCUUGUUUAACGGGUGGGCCGAGCCGGUCCGGGCCAAAUUUUUUUAACCCGUCCGGGUUCCGGGACGGUUUUGCACAAUAACGGUUUCUAGCGGGCUGGGUUAAUUCGGAUAAAAAUUGAACCAUAACGGUUACGGGUUGAGGGGGCCGGGCCGGGUUUAGUGUAUUUUCACUUUUAUUUUUGAAAUUUUGUAUAGUAUAACUAUUGUAAGUUAUAUUAAUACUUUGUAAUAAUUAAAAGAAUACAAGUAAGAUGGGAAAAAAUUGCAUUUAUUGCAAGUGCUNNNNNNNNNNNNNNNNNNNNNNNNNNNNNNNNNNNUAUAGUAUAACUAUUGUAAGUUAUAUUAAUACUUUGUAAUAAUUAAAAGAAUACAAGUAAGAUGGGAAAAAAUUGCACUUAUUGCAAGUGAUACUUUAUUUCUUGAUUUCAACUUGAAAAUUCACAAAAUGAAAAUGUUCACAUUUUUCUAACAAGUAAACUAGUAAAAUAGUAAUUUCAAAUGUUUUGCAUCGCCCUAGCAAGUUCAUCACAAUCAAUAUGAACCGAUUGACCUUCUUCAGGCGUGUUAAAUUCGGAUGGGUUUCCAUGCGUUAAUAUAUCUCCAAGCUCUUCGUCUUCUGGGCUAUCAAGAUCUUCCUUUCCUUGAUUUCUUCGUUCCGAUCUAAUCCAAUCUCUUAAACAUACUAAAACUUCCAAAGCAUUGCUUGUUCAUCAUAAUUAAUAUGAACCGAUUGACCUUCUUCUGGCAUGUUAAAUUCGGAUGGGUUUCCAUGUGUUAAUAUAUCCCCAAGUUCCUCGUCUUCUGUGCUAUCAACAUCUUCCUUUCCUUGAUUUCUUCCUUCCGAUCUAAUCCAAUCUCUGAGACAUACUAAAACUUCCAAAGCAUUGCUUCCCAAUGAGUGACGGGUGUCUCCAAGUUGUUGUCUUGAUUGGCUAAAUGCACUCUCCAUGCAAUAGUAGAAAUUGGCACAUUCAGCACGUCACGAGCCGUAGCAAAAAGAACAGGAAAGCGGUUGUCUCCAAGUUGUUGUUUUGCUUGGCUAAAUGCACUCUCCAAUGCAACAAUAGAAAUUGGCACAUUCAGCACGUUCCGAUCCAUAGCGAAAAGAACAUGAAAUUGCUUUCUAUUUUUAUGCCACCAUCCCAACAGUGAAAAUUCCUUUGUACGAAGCUCCUUUUGCUUCUGCAAGUAGAAUUGAAGUUCAUCAGUAUUCCUGCUACUGGUUUGAAUGUUAGAAAAUGUAGAAAAAAAAAUUAAAACUAUCAAGGCCUUCUUCAUCAUUCACAAUAGCAGAAGUGCUACAUUGCAUAGCGAGAUUAACAUUGCCAGAAGCACGACCAACAUUAUCACAUUCAUUUGCAUAAUAAUUAUAUAGUUGUAAAUAUUCAUUUAGCUUGUUCAUACAACAACAACAACAACAACAACAACUACCCAGUAUACUCCCACCAGGAUAAUUAUAUAGUUGUAAAUAUUCAUUUAGCUUGUUCAUAGAAACAUAUAAAUUUGGGGUUUCAGUUUCUCCAAUCUCCAUAUAAGUAUAUAAAGCGUUCAUUAAUCGGUGACUAUCAGACAUUUUAAUAGAAGGAUUUAAAACUACACCAAUUAUGUAAAUCAGAGGAAUUGGAAAGAAAUAUUUUUUGAAUUUUGCUUGCAUUUUUUUCAACAACAUCCUUAUAUUUUUCUUACUUCUUAAAUUCAGAUAGUAGAAAUGAAAUUUCAGCUCUAUGUACUAAAGCCAUAGUAACAGUGGGGUAAUGCGCCAGAAAAUACAACAGUAGCAGUAUAAAAUUUAUGUAAAAAUUUAACAUCAUUAAUGACCUCCCAAGUAUCACUUGUUAACAUACGCCUAGGAUUGACAAUCAAAAAUAUUAAUAAAAGGAUUUAAAACUGAACCAAUUAUGUAAAUCAGAGGAAUUGGAAAGAAAUAUUUUUUGAAUUUUGCUUGCAUUUUUUUCAACAACAUCCUUAUAUUUUUCUUUCUUCUUAAAUUCUGAUAGUAGAAAAGAAAUUUAAGCUAUAUGUACUAAAGGCAUUGUGACAUUGGGGUAAUAUGCUCCAGAAAACUCAACAGUAGCUGUAUAAAAUUUAUGUAAAAAUUUAACAUCAUUAUUAAUGAACUCCCAAGUAUCACUUGUUAACAUACACCUAGGAUCAGUACAAUCUGCAUUAGCAACUUGAGUUAUUGAAAAUCUAUAUUUAUAGAAAUAUUUAAAAAUAUAUAUGUAUAAUUCCAUCUAGUAACAAUUUCGUUUGGCAUGAAUCUAGGUCUAAGGUUAUACUGGAUACACUUAGUCUUAAAUUCUUUUAUUCUAGAUUGUCUAUUAUUUCCUUGAGUAACACAAACUGCUCUUCUAACAUGAGUAAUCUUAGUUGAAAAUAAAUCAAGGUCACUUUUAAUAAUUAAANNNNNNNNNNNNNNNNNNNNNNNNNNNNNNNNNNNNNNNNNNNNNNNNNNNNNNNNNNNNNNNNNNNNNNNNNAAUUUUAACAAUUAAAUUAUAAACAUGACAUGCACACCUAACAUGAAAAAUAUCAUCAAGAGGUGGAUGCAAAUGCAAUUUUAAAAUCGAAAUUGCGGCAUUAUUGUUAGAAGCAUUAUCAAAAGAUAUACACAAAACUUUUUGGUUUAGAUUAUAAAAUUCAACAACUUCAACAAUAGUACUACUUAUAAACGUAGCAGUAUGACCCUGAUCUUCAUCAUAUUUAAAAGCGAUAAUUCGUUUUAGCGUACAAGUAUUAUCAUCUAUCCAAGUGCAUGUAAUUAUCAAAUAAUCAUUUCCAUUAACAGCAUGGCCAAUAUCAAAAGUUAGACAUACUCUAGAAGGAANNNNNNNNNNNNNNNNNNNNNNNNNNNNNNNNNNNNNNNNNNNNNNNNNNNNNNNNNNNNNNNNNNNNNNNNNNNNNNNNNNNNNNNNNNNNNNNNNNNNNNNNNNNNNNNNNNNNNNNNNNNNNNNNNNNNNNNNNNNNNNNNNNNNNNNNNNNNNNNNNNNNNNNNNNNNNNNNNNNNNNNNNNNNNCUACGAUGAAGAAGCAAAAGAAAAAGGUAGACAACCCAAAGAAAUCAUUUUUGCUAAUUUCUCACGAUCCUUCAUUUAUCAUAUUUUACUAGACCUCCAGUAGUAGGGUUAAUAGUUGUUUGAUUUCCAUCCCCAUUAUUGCCCCAUUCUAUGUGAUGGUCAACUCUCAAAUGUCUACUAAGUGUCCCAGUCCCACCUAAAUUUCCUCCGGCCAAAUGUUUAAAAGUAUCGUUACAAAGUUUGCACCUAACUCUAUCUGUAACCUUCUAUUAAAACAAAUAAAUUCCAUACCAGACUUCUUUUUCUACGAUUAGAAGCCGGAGCCAUAGGUGGUCUACCACGACCACCACCCCAUUGUAGCACUAGCAACUCCAACUCCAACACUACCAAUAUUUGCACUGGUAGGUGUAGGUGGUAUCUCAUAUUCUAUUCCAAUUUUAUUAUCUUCUAUUCCAAAAUCUUCUUGUAAUUGUCCAUAAUCUAUCUCUACAUUAUCAUUAGGCGAUGAUUCAGAAACAUGUGUUAUUGGUUCAUUACUAUUACUACCGGAAGCUCCAGGACUACCUCUUUUUUUACAUUAUCAUUAGGCGAUGAUUCAGAAACAUGUUGUUAUUGGGUCAUUAAUAUUACUACAGGAAGCUCCAAGACUACCUCUUUUUUUUAUUUCCACCCCUACCAGUAACUUCUCUAAAAUCUCUUUUAGCAAUACUAAAUAUAUUGUAAAAAUUAAAGUAUAAGCUAAAAUUAAAUAUGCAAUUAAAAUAUUAAAUAAGAGAAGAAGUUAGAGGGAGUGCACCGAAUUCAACAUCAAAUUGAGCACUUGAUUACGCAAUUACGGUGUUACCACGAACAAACAUCAAGCAAGUAUAUCAACUUUGAACUUCGAACUUUGAAUUUCAAUUUCAAAUGAUAAUUUCCGAUAAAUUAAACUCAAGAAAAGAGAGCCAAAUAAUUAUUAUAAAAUUAGAAUAUGAAAUCUUGCAAAUUGGACGGAAGAGAGAAUUUGAGAAUUGAGAUUGAGAUAAGAAUUUUGAGUGAAGAAAUGAAAUUGCUAUCGUAGCUAAGCUAGNNNNNNNNNNNNNNNNNNNNNNNNNNNNNNNNNNNNNNNNNNNNNNNNNNNNNNNNNNNNNNNNNNNNNNNNNNNNNNNNNNNNNNNNNNNNNNNNNNNNNNNNNNNNNNNNNNNNNNNNNNNNNNNNNNNNNNNNNNNNNNNNNNNNNNNNNNNNNNNNNNNNNNNNNNNNNNNNNNNNNNNNNNNNNNNNNNNNNNNNNNNNNNNNNNNNNNNNNNNNNNNNNNNNNNNNNNNNNNNNNNNNNNNNNNNNNNNNNNNNNNNNNNNNNNNNNNNNNNNNNNNNNNNNNNNNNNNNNNNNNNNNNNNNNNNNNNNNNNNNNNNNNNNNNNNNNNNNUUUUAUUUGUGGAUUUUUAGAAUGGUUAAUAUUGUAAAUUAUUAAAUACAAAAAAAUUACCAAAAAUGGCCAAUUUUGCAAAAAUAUCCGUUGGCCAAUGGAUCAGAAACAAUUCUGACCGUUGCCAACGGUCUUAUGGUCCCCACCAUGUCAGAAAUUAAACAAAACCAAAAAAAUAUUUCAUUGGUACCGGGCCGGUUUAACCGGUACAGGCCACUGUUCAUUCGGACCGGGUCGGUCCGGUUACCCAUUAAAAACGGAACAAACCCCUUCCCCCUACGAACCCAGCCCACCCGACCCUUACGAACCGGGCCGGUUCGGUCCCAGUUUAAACCGGUCUGAGCCGGUCCGGAACCGGUCCUACCCGGCCCGUUAGACAGGUUUACCGCAUAGUCUUGGGACUUGGCGAUGUCAACAAGUAUUUUUGCAGCAGGAUGUAUUAUGUCUAGAAGCUUCAUUAUAGUGGCACCAUCAUUCGAAAUAGUUAGUGUUUCCUUUCUCGUCGUGGAUCAGCUUGUCCAUACCCCUAGGACCAAGGGUGGUACGCACCACAUCAGCCAAAGCCAUACAAGCAUUUAUGUUGCUCACCAACUGUGCCUUCCCUUGGGAUGUAUCAGUCCCUUCCUUCAGCAAUAUGAUCUGAGGUUGCUGUUACUUCAAAAGCCAAAACACCAGAUCAGAAAAUAAUUUAGAAGAAAAAAGGGAACAAUAAAUGAAAAAAUACACCAGUAACACAUAGGUAUAUCCAAUCAACCAAUUAAUUGUGCCUCAUUUCCGUAUUAGUUGGAGUUGGCUAUCGAAUCCUCUAAUAUAAAUUCCCAUCUACUUAAACCCAUUUCAUUCCAAUAUUGAUAAAAAUUAUCUUCUAAGACAAAAUAGUAACAUAGAAUAACAUGGAAACAGAAGUCUGCACAUUCUAAUUAAUGCCGAUUGUACAGUAGUCAUAUUCAUAAAAGCCCGACCUUAAAAUAUAAUAAAAACCUUCACCAUAAACAUUUUUUCCUCUCAUGGUAACGAACCUACCACAUUAAUCUAAAUUUACUGCGGACAAACUAAAGAACAAAUGCAACAAAUGUUCAGCUGUCCCAAUCAAAAUGAUGAAAAAGAAUCAAUAUUUAAAAUUAUGGGUGGAUUGACAUAAUUGACAACCUCCCCUGCCACAUCGACAACCUUUCGUCACCUGUCUCUGUCUUUGUUUAGACACACAAACACGUACUUAAUAUCCUAGAUCCACAACUUCCACUCACCUUGUUACAACUUAUGGAACUUCCACUUCCACAACAGCUCUACUCAGAUUUGUUCUUUAAAAUGAAAGUUGCAUACAUUUCUCGCAUUACCCGGCACUAGUCGGAGCCUUUUAUUCUUUCAGUAAUUAGAAUGAGCAUUAAUACAGUCGAAAAGUAAAUGGAGGCUUACCAUCAUAGAUGCCAUUGUUGAUGGUGAGAGAGAUCAAUUGAGCGAGAAAGUAGGCUACUUGGUGAGUUAGCAAAUGGCCGAAGAAGCAGAAGCCUGGGUACAAGUGAAACUUUCUAGGGUUUUUCCCUACUCGUUAGGGUUUAUACUUUUUCUAGUUCGUUCGCUAAAGAAUGGCGAGAAUAGUUUAGAAAUGGAGAAAGUUAUAAGGGGAAAAAGAACUUGCUACAUGCACCACAUCGUAGUUUUACAGGUUAGUUGUAAUUGAAGAAAGAAUAUAUGUUGGAGUAAUGAUUAAAUUUAAAUUAAGUGAUGGUAAGUUUUAUGUUAAAAAAUGUGUGCCAUACACUUAGGUAAAAAAAUAGGAAUAUUUAAAUAAAUACCUUUUUGAAAAAAAAUAUGUAUUUCAUAGCUAUCUUUUGAUUUUAUAGCCAAAUAUUUAUUUAUGGUCACCUCAUGCCCUUAAGCCAAAAAUACGCUUUGUAUUAUUUUUAUCUCUCAUUCUUUCAGAUUUUUGUCCACCCUCUCUCUCUCCACGUCAUACUUUCUCCAUGAAUACAACCAUGAUUCUCCGUUGAUUCAUCUUCGUUGUCAAAUGAAAUUUUUAUUGUCACUUAUCUGGGGCUUUGAAUCAAUGUCGAAAUCAUGCCCUAGAGAGAAAGAUAGAGGUUCAAAAUCUGCUAUUCAAACGUAAAGUGGGCUGAUAAUGAAAAUUUCAUAUAGUUAUGUUUAGUGGGGUGAAGAGUUUGUUUAGAAAUCAAUGUCUUAUGUUUCCUAUCAAUGUCGAAAUAUGACAUAGGGCAAAAUUGGGGCUGACAAUGGAGGUUCAAAAUCUGCUAUCGACGAGGUAACAUUAGAGUUAUUCUUGAAUAAAGACGAUAGAGUUUGGUGCUGAGCAACUGGAAGAGUCCGUUACCUUUUUCAUUGUAUUUCAAUGUAUCUCCAUAUAUUCUACGUAUUUCAUUGUAUUCAUUGUCUUUUUUUCAUUUAUUUCAACGUAUCUCGCUGUAUUCCAUAUAUUUUUUGUAUCCAUUGUCUCGGUAUAUUCAGUGAAUGUAGUCAUAUAUUUUUGUAAUUAAAAUAAUUUAUGUAUUAAUAUAUAUUUAUGCAUUCAGAUUUAUACUUGAGUUUGUUGAGUUAUAUUAGGAGUCUAUUUGUGUUAAUUGAUUUAUUUUCGUUUAAAAACAGCUAAGUAGACUACGAUUUAUGCUAUUUAUGCUACUGUAUUCACAAAUACGUAUCCCAAAUGCAGUCGAAUGCAAUAAUUGCCUAGUUAUGCUCCCUUGUUUAACGUCGAGUUUUGCUACUGCAUUCAUGAAUAUAAUAGCUUAAAUACAUCGAACACACUCUAGCAAAACUGAUAAAAACAUAGCUACAGGAAAUAAUAUAGUAAAUGGUAGCUACAGCUAGAUAAUAACCAUUAAAUAAUAGUGAUUUAUGAAAAUUUCUCCAAAAAUUACCACGGGCGUUAACAUGGACUUUCCUCAUUUAACCAUAGUUAGUUAAUAGAGUAUAUAAUUUCGCAUCAUUAUAAUUUAGGUGAAAUAGUUUCCUGGCUACUUAAACUUGUAGGGCUUUUGAAAGUCGAUGCAUGAACUUUUAAUUUUCCCAUUUAAACACUUAAACUUAACAAAAUGAGUACUAAUAAAUAUUUUUAACCAUUGACCAUGCCAAUAUGGAAGCACUGCAGCUGGCAUGACUAAACUGUAUGCAAAUCACGCUGCCAAGGCGCAUGAAUAAUACUGUUUUUAAUAAAAAAAUUAGAAUUAGAAUAAAGUAUAAAUAAAAAGUUAGAAAAGAAAAAACUUUUCCCUUCAUCUUCUAUCUCCUCCUCUUUCCAAUUCUUUCGUCCUCGCCCUCCAAUUCUUUCAUAUUCCCAGCAAAAUUCCCACCCAUAUACAUCAGCCAGAAACUUGUUAAAAUCAUGAAUGGAACUGUCCAGUAUUUUUGAGAGUCGAAAAGAUCCUCAUUCAUUAUCUUAGUUGAAUUUCCACUGACAGACCAGAGCAACGACUAGCCAUCAGUGUUACCGACUAUCCUGCUGCAGUCAACACAUAUUUACAUGAAUUUCUUAAGACAAGCUUAUCAAGAUUUUCAUAAACUGAUAGUCAAAAUCUGUUAAUGGUCACAUUUCAUUUUUUCUAGUGGUUCUUCAUUUUUUACCAUGGAUUUUGCAAAUAGAGUUCGCUACAACUGAGUGGAGUAUUUAUUUGCUCCAUCAUGGGCAUAUUGUCUCAAGAUUCCGGAAAGGCUAAUUUCAGAAAAGUAAAGAAAGGAAGGGAGGCGGUGAACGAAGAAGAAGGGAGCGGUUGGGUACAAGGUAUAUUUUAGGUAUUUUUUUCUUUUCUUUUUUCCUCUUUUGUACUUAUAACUUUUUUUUCUGAUUUUAUAUUUAAAAGUAUGACCUACAAAUAACAUAUCGCAAGCCAUAAAUAGCUUAGCAUAAUGUGUUUUACUUGUCAGUGCAGUUGAUAUACACGUCAGUACAAUUGAUAUACACGCUCUGGUCAAAAGUGUUUAUUAGUACUCAUUUUGUUAAGUUUGAGUGUUCAGAUGGAAAAAUCAAAAGUUCAUGUAUCGGUUUUCAAAAGCCCUACAAGUUUAAGUGGCCAGGAAGCCAUUUCUUCUAUAAUUUAUAUUAUUUAACAUGAUAUGCUAACAUUGAAAUGAACAAGUUUUUAUAUUUAUUGCUUAAAUAUUAUAUUUAGCGUGUACAUAAAAUUUUCUAAAUUGUGGUGAAUUGGAUUGUUUAGUUAACUUACCUUUUGUGUGGUAAUUGAUCUUACAAAAUCACACUACGUUGGUGCAGCCAAGAUUUGAAUUGUAUGGGAUCGAGAUUGUAAUUCUUUUAAGUUAUUGGGUUCUAAAUUAUUAAUUUAAAUAUAUUUAAUGAAUUCCUUAAAAUAAAUAUUCCUUAAGGUUUGGACCAAAUCUACUGGAUUAGGCUGAAUCUAUAACAAAAUAGUUGACUCCACCCUGCAUCUCAUAUGACAUUAGUAUUUGGAAUCAUAAAAUUUCAAUUAAAAAGAUUAUGGUUAUUAUUAUUUGAGAGAGAGAGAGUCACUAUUCGAAGCCUUUGGGUUCAAAUUCUAUUUUUAAGCUAUUCGGUUCUAAAUUGACAAUCUGUGUAUAAUUCAAUAGAUUUCUUAAGAUGAAUAUAGUAUUUGAACCAAAAUUACGGGAUUCGGUCGAAUCUGCAACUGCAUGACUAGCUCUGCUCAUUAUAUACACACAUAAAAAUAUGAAAAAAUUGUAUCAAGUUCAGUAUUAGAUUCAUAAUGAGCAUGAUUAAUCAUAAGUUUAUAUAAAAAGUUGUAUGUAGCAAAAUAUUGCAUGCAAAUUUAAAUUAAAGAUUCAAUUUCUCUCACUUAUGGGAGAAAUUGUUCUUCAAGUACAAUGAUCCCCUUUGUUAUGUUGUCACUUUGCUUUACCUAAAAACGCAAGUUCUACUAAGGAAUCUAUUGGAACAACAGUCGUUACCAAAUAUUUGUUCAUUUGGAUUUAUUCUUAGUGUUCAUGCUUAUCCUUAGAUUAGAUAUAAAUUUAGAGUUUUCUUUUUAGUUCAUAUUUAUCAUUCAGUUAGUUAGUUCUUGAUAGUGUUUUGAUUUGAAUAAGUCUCCUAAUUCAAGGAGUACUCUUAGGAAGACUUGUAUUUAAACUGAGCUUGACAUUCAAUACAAUUACAGUUGUCCAUCAUAUUCUUGAAGUCUUUAUAUACAUGCUAAGACCUUGUCUUAUGCUGGGUGAAUUCAGUUAGUACAGAGUGUUAUGUUUGGCAAACAAACUAUUUGAGCAUAGUUGUUUGUGAUGACUACAAAAGUGAUCAAGCGUAUUGAAGGGAUUUGUAGGUCCUACAUAUGGUCGAGGUCAUUGGUUGCUUGGUAUAAAGUCUACAUGCCCAAAGCUGGGGGUGGCCUUAAUCUCACUAUAGAUACAGUUAUCCAUCAUAUUUGAUUGUUUAUAUUGUAUUAGAGCCUAUAUAAUUCUAAUGAGCAUGAUCCAAUUUUUUUUCCGCACCAAACCCUCCAAUGACGAAAGAUGAAAAUGCUCCCAGAGUUGUCAUUGACGACAACACUACCGGUACCACAACCAUCGUCCAAUUCAACCCUGCUUCCCAACUACCUAUCAAACUUAGUGGCAGUUGGAGAUGUCAAAAUGGGCCAGCCCAAGCUUGAUAUUUGACAAGAAAUCUCGUAAUUGAAAUGUAAAUUCCGUAUAUCUCUAGCUCUUCUUUUUUAAAGUUACAUGAAUAUUUUCUUAAUAUUUUUGUUUCAUUUUUUUUUCAGAUCCAAGGAUUGCUUCAAUAAGUUUAUAUGCUGAGAUUUUUUAAUUUAGGAUUAACAUCAUUUCUGAUUUCAUCAUUAUAGUCCAUAAAAUUUUUAAAAUUCAUGAAAUUUGCUAGUGGUCAAUUUUUUUUGUAUUUAAAACUGAUCUUUUUCUAUAUUGAAAAGCAGUUUAAUAAUAUAUAAAAAUAAUCCAAACUGAUCAUUUG
rnacentral:lncRNA from 1 species